UAUAUUUUUGUGGUGGCAUUUUAAACACAUCUAAUGCGUCUAUCACUUUCUCAAUUGGAGAAUAGAGAUGAUUUAGAGCGCACAAAUUAGUCUUUUUAGGGUUCUUGGUAAAGUUAAAACAUCGUUUUGGGCACAUUGCUUACAAAUUCAUGUGUUUUUUUUCUUUUGACAAAUCCAUGCACUUUGAGGGGUAUGCUCACAGACCCGUCUUUGACGGGAGCACCUGAUUUCGCUGGGUCCAAAUUUUUUGUUUUUACUUAAUAGAUACUAGCAUUUGCUUACACAUUUUUUUGGAAAAUGAGAAGGAGAGAGGGAGAGAGAGAAUGUGGGGAAGUGGGAGGUGUUUUCGGUUUUUUUUUUUUUUAAAUAUUGGAGGUAUUUUAAUAUCACAUGUAGGUGAGGUUUCAAUAAAAAACAGUAAAAUUUGGAUCUGUGAAAGUACAUUAUUGCCCACCAUUUUUUUUUUUGUGAUAGAAGACUAAGUUGUCUUUUCAUCCUCUUUUGAUUGACAAAGAGAUUUUAAUUAAUUAGUAGAGAUAUGAUAUUUAAUAUUUAAUAAAUGUAGAAAUAAUGACAAAGCAAUGUUUUUUUUUAAAACACUUAAGCUUUUUCCCCCAAGGUUCGUGUUUCAAAUCCCGUGUGUGAUAUUCUUUUAUGAAUUGUUUUUAAUUCAAUUUUUCUAUUUUGAAAAAAAGGAUCAUACCAUGUACAUUUAAGAGGGGCCGUGCAAUUUAAGAACCUGCUUUGCCGUCUUUAUUUUUUUUAAUCAAGACAAACUAAAACUACCCCUAACAACAAAAAGAAACGUAUUUCAAGUGUAUAGCAAGUAUGAACCAUAGCCUUCACCAUCAUUCCUCUGCAAAUCCUUUUAUCUCACUUCCUCUCUGUCUGUUUCUUUUUCAAAUUUCUAAGUAUCUUUAUACAGGUGAAGGGGUGAAUCAAAAUAUAUCAUUAGGUUUAGAAGAUUGCAACUCAAGGAAAGCCUAUAGAAGACUAUGAAUAUAAUCUUUUUUUUGUUUUAGUCUAGAUGUUCAUGAUAGAUGACAUGAUAAUAUAUUUAAGAAUUCAAAAAAGACAACUUACAUGGCCUUAGGCAAGCCAUUGUUGAGCGUCCGCAGUGAGGGGCUCUAUAUAAGGCUAGAAAAGUGGUGGAUAUAACUAAUUUUUGAGCUCCAAGGAAUCUUUGGGGUUUUAUAAAAGAAUCUCUUCUAAUGAGGAGCUAUAUCUUUCGGGCUCUAUAUAGGGCUAUAUAUAUUUAUUUAUGUAGUAAUUUGAUUAAGCGAUAAUUUAUUUUUGUGUGUUAGUUUUUCUUAAGUUGAUUUUUAGACGUGUUAUCUUAAUUUUUUUUUAUAUGAACCUUUCAACCUAAAAAGUUCAAAUUGUGACAAUGUUAGAUUUCAUCACUUAUCAAUCGUUUGUUGGAUUAGAUUCCCCUAUCUCAAUCUCAUCCGUUGAAAGAAGCAAACCCCCACUUUGCCCUCUGAAUAAUUUGACUUUCAUGUAUAACACAACAAUUUACCUAGCACCAAUUGAUAAAUUAGUAUCAUACAAUUUUAAAAAAAAAUUAUUUGAAAAUUUCACUCAUCAAUGCCCAUGAACGUUAAAUCAAUUUGAAAUUUUAAUUCUUAUGGAAUUUAAAACAAUCAUUAAUUAGCCAAAUUGCAAGAAAAAUAACUAAGAAAAAAGAAUUAAAAAUAAUAAAAGGAGAAUAUAAGUGUAUUCGUAGGUAGAGGGAGAGUGAUAGAAUUUUGCUCACAUGGAUUGCUACUUUUUUGUGGGCCCUUCAAUCUUCAAUGCAUAACAAUCAUAGAAUUUGUCUUUUGUGAAUGCUUGAAUAUCAUAUCAUCACUUAUGAACAUAUAAACUGGAACAAAAUAAUAAUAAUAAUAAUAACACCCAACAAAAUAUAUCCACAACCAUAAAAUAUAAAUUCAUAGUUUACCAAAUUAAAAAAAGAUUAAACUCAUAGAUUCCAUAUGCUUACAUUAUUUGCAAUCCUCUAAACCUAGUUAUAUAUUUUGAUUCGCCCCUUCAAUUGUAUAGAGAGGCUUAGGAUUUGAAAAAGAAAGAGACGAAGAGGAAGAAAGAAUAAAAGAAUUGCAGAGGAAUGAUGGUGAAGGCUAGGGUUCAUGCUUGCUAUGUAAAAAAAACAAGCCAAAGACAAUUACACGUAAAAUAUAUUCCUUUUUGUUGUUAGGGAUUAGUUUUAGUUUAUCUUGAUUUAAAAAAUGGGAACUUUAACGAAAAGCACCCGGUACUGUUCACUUUAAAGAAAAACCACAUUUUUACACUAAAAAGUCAAUCCUGGUACUAUUCACUUUACCCUUUAUUUUGUCCUUAUCAUUAAAACUCAAAGUUUUCAAGCUUUUUCAUUAGUUUUCCUUAAAAAAAAUCAGGCCGGCAAAGUAGAGUGCACAUUGGAGUAGGGGUGGAAAAAAUUCCCAAAAAUCUCGAACCAAACCGAAAAAAUCCCGAUCCCAAACCAAAAAUUUCCCAAACCGAAAUUCCCGAAAAUUUUGGGAUGCUAUCCAGAACCGAUCCCGAAAUUUGGGUACGGGAUUCAGGAUUGGCUUCUCGAUAUUUCGGGAAUCCCAUACCGAACCAAAAAUGUAUAAUAUUAAUUAUUAUUAUAUAUAUAUAUUUCUACAUAUAUAUUAUAUAUAUUAUUCUUUUAUAAUUGAUGCUAGUAGUUUCUAAUUCAUGCUCUGCAACCUGGAAUGCCCUACACCUUGCAUAUUUUUCAUGUUCUGUUUAAUAUUCAUUUGGAUUUUAUUAUUGCUGCUACCAUGGUUGAUGAUUUCAGAAUGCUUGAUUCUUUUGUCUCUUAAUAGAUUGCAAAAAGGGUUUAAUUAAUUUGAAUUUUGACUUUGAUAAAAAUAGUCAGGCAUGCCAGUGUUCGAUUAAAUGGUAGUGUGAAUGAAAUGACAUUCCUAGUUCUUGAAUUAUAUAUUUGAAGAACAAUUCAUAAUUUAAAAUUUAAAUUUGGGAUUCCCGAUUUGUCUCGAAAUCCCAAAAAUAUUUUGGGAUUCCCGAAAUUUGGGAUUCCCGAAAAUUUGGUUUGGGAAUGGUCUUCAAAUUCCCGUCCCGAAAAUUUUCGAUUUGGAAUUCGGGAUACUAGUUUCGGUAUGGUAUCCCAUACCGAACCACCCCUACACAGGAGUCAUAUGGACCAUUUUUCAAAACAGAAAAAUCAAAUUAAAAACAAUACAUAAAAACAGAGCGAUUCGCAAGUGAUUUCUAGGAUGUUACGUACCCAUUUUUUUUUAAUGGUAUUUCAUUGUGUCUCCACUAUACAACAUUUGAAACAUACUUAGGUUAGAAAACCUUAAUUUUGACGCAUAUGUGGAAUUUUUGGGUUAGGUCUUUGUUUCUAGUUAACUUUAAUUUAUUAUUCCGACAGUUUCUCUCUUUGGCUGGCUGGUUUUAUACGUAUAUUCUGGAGUCUGCACCAAGAAUUAGUCUACUAAUUUUGUUCCCGAUUUAUUUAUUUAUUUCUUCUUCUGGACCAUCAUCUCGAACCUUGCAAGACUUAGCCAUGCAUAGUCAAGGUCAUGAUCAUAUUACUAUUGAAGACCCAGCUCAAUCUCAAUUUGUGCAAUAAUUUAUCUCGCUAUUAGACCUAUAAAUAGCCCUCCAAAUACAAAGCUUUUGCAAUAUAUCCACAAUCUGCUUAAUCAUAAGUGCUUAAGUAGUUUACAAUGGCUUCAAAAUGUACUCUUUCUCUGUUCACAAUCACUUUUCUCUUUGUCCUCCUUUCUCUCUUCUCCCAUGCAACGUCGUCAGAAACCCACAACAAAAACACGUCGCCAUUCGAGUUUCUCAACCAUCUUAAGGGGUGUCACAAGGGCGACAAGGUCCAAGGCAUCCAAGACCUAAAGAAGUACCUUGAAAAAUUUGGAUACUUAAACGGCCAUUCCGAUAAUGAUGAUUUCGACGACAUCUUGGAGUCAGCGAUCAAAACUUACCAGCUCAACUACCACCUCAAAGCCACCGGAACAUUAGAUGCCAAAACCGUAUCAAAAAUGAUGAUGCCGCGAUGCGGUGUGCCAGACAUCAUCAAUGGCACCACCUCCAUGCGAUCGGGAAAGAAAAGACACCCUCACCACCACAGCGGACAUGGUUCGCCUCACACAGUUGCUCAUUAUUCUUUCUUCCCUGGAAACCCUAAAUGGCCUUCUUCUAAGUACCAUCUCACCUAUGCUUUUGAUCAAACCACCCCAACUGAGGCCCGGGACGCAGUUGCGCGCGCUUUUGCUGUUGAAUUAUAAGUCUCUAGCUGAUUAAGUAUUAGAAAUAAGAUGAGUUUUAAUGUGUGUAUUCAUUUGAGCAUAUAUGCCAAGUGUAAGGUUAAAUGAUGUAAGGCCAUGAGUGCCAUGUGGUGUUUGAUCCAUGUAAUUAGGUUGAUGAGUGACUAAGAUUAAAAGUAGUGUUUAGUGUGGUCCUAAAGCUAAGGCCAUCAGUUAAAUGUAAAGCAGUGUGAGUGCUCAUUUCUCUGUGUAGUACAAAAUAUUCCUCUGCAAUAUUUUUGCAGUAGAGAACAAGAAAGAAAAAAAAAAACUAUUUUUCGGUUCAUCUUCCAUCUUUGCUUUUGCUUCUGUUCAGUAUUCUAAAAAAAAAAUCCAGCUAAAUUAGAGUAACACUAACAUGGCCUCAGAGCCUUGUUUCGAUUAGAUCUGGGCGUGUUUCUGUGAGCUCAAACGUCACCGUCUCUGGACUUGGUGAAGUUUGCCGGAGCUUAUCUGUGAUCUAAGAACUACGUGUUUCUGGGUUCACACAAGCUCACGAUGGCUGGACCUGGGAGUGCUGAAGUGAGGACCCCGAUCUUUCUCCGGUGAGAACUACGAGUUCUGGAGAAUCAAAAUGGUUACCAUUUUCAAGUCGUAUGGACUGUGGAAUCUGGUGGAAAAAGGGAUUCCGGUUCCUGAUUCGAAGAAGAAGGAAGCUAAGACUGAUGAACAUACAGAGGUUGAUGUUGACGAUGAUGAGAAAAUGGCUGCAAUCUUCAUGAAAGAUGCAAAAGCUCUCGGAAUCAUUCAAAGCGCAGUCUCCGAUCAGAUUUUCCCUCGAAUCGCAAACGCAGACUCAGCAAAAAUGGCAUGGGAUCUGUUAUAUGGCGAAUAUCACGGUGGGGAUCAGGUAAGAUCUGUGAAACUCCAGAAUCUUAGACGAGAAUUUGAAUACACUAGAAUGCGUGAUGAUGAAUCUUUGACUGGGUAUCUUACUCGUUUAAAUGAUCUGAUUAAUCAAAUGAAGACGUUUGGUGAAACUAUGUCAAAUGAGAGAUUAGUUCAGAAGGUGUUAAUCAGUCUCACUAAGAUAUAUGAUCCUAUAUGCUUAGUGAUAGAAAACACUAAAUGUUUAGAAUCUGUUGAACUGCAAGAGGUAUUAGCUAUAUUGAAGAGUCAAGAGCAGAGGUUUGAUUUGCAUUCCUCAGAUGCAACUGAGAGAGCAUUUUCUUCUCUUACUGUUAGUUCAAAAGGGCAGAAUCGAAGUUAUGCUCAGUCUAGUACCUUUAAACCACAGAGAAAUUGGAAUCAAAAGGGCAAGAAAUGGGAGUCAAAACCAAAGUUUCAGCAAAAAUCAUACACACAAGUGUUGCACAGAAUAGUACUUCCUCACAGGGUAUGGGUCAAGAGAGUGUAAAACCUCAAUGUAAGGUGUGUUCAAAGUUUCAUUAUGGUGAAUGUAGGUAUAAGGGGAAAUCUAAGUGCUAUAACUGUGACAGAUUUGGGCACUGGGCAAAAGAAUGUACUGUUGGAAAGUCUGUUCAAAAGGCAAACUGUGCCAGUCAAAUGGAAGUAACAGGGAACUUGUUUUAUGCAAAUUGUGCAGUUGCUGAGACUAAGGUUAAUGGAGAUUGGUACAUAGAUAGCGGCUGCAGUAAUCAUAUGACAGGAAAUGUUGAUCUUCUUGUUGAUGUGAAUACGAAUGUUGCAGGGAAGGUUCAAAUGCCAACAGGAGGAUUAGUUAAUGUGGCAGGAAUUGGAUCACUGGAAAUUGAGACUAACAGAGGAAGAAAAUACAUUCGAGAAGUCAUGUACCUACCUGGCUUGAAAGAGAAUCUACUUAGUGUAGGACAAAUGGAUGAGCACGGAUACUAUCUUGUGUUUGGUGGAGGUAUGUGUACUGUCUUUGAUGGCCCUUCUCUGGAAUGUCAAAUUAUCAGUGUAAAGAUGAGAGGAAACAGAUGCUAUCCUCUAUCUCUAAGUUCUGAAAAGCAACUUGUGUUGAAGCUCAGUUUUGCUAACUGUGCCCGGACUUGGCACAGAAGACUUGGCCACCUAAACUUUGGUGGAAUCAAAAAAUUGAAGGAGAAAGAUAUGGUUCAUGGAUUACCAGAUCUAGAAGAGAAUGAUAGAGUCUGUGAAGGUUGUCAAUAUGGUAAACAGCACAGAGAAAGUUUCCCUAGUGGUCAAACACAAAGAGCUGGUGCUUCACUCGAAUUGAUCCAUGUUGAUCUAUGUGGACCAAUGAGAAAUGAAUCCACUGGAGGAAACAAAUACUUUAUGCUGCUUGUGGAUGAUGCAACACGAAUGAUCUGGGUAUACUUUCUUAAAUAUAAAUCUGAGGCCUUCUCCUGCUUUCAAGAAAUUCAAAGCAAUGACUGAGUUACAAACUGGUUUAAGGGUGAAAUGUCUGAGGAGUGACAGAGGAGGGGAGUUCUUGUCUACUGAGUUCAAUCAGUUCUGUGAUACAGAAGGCAUUCAAAGGCAACUUUCUCUUGCAUACACUCCACAGCAAAAUGGAGUGGUGGAAAGGAAAAACAGAACCGUGGUUGAAAUGGCUAAGUCUAUGCUACACGAUAAAGGAAUGCCCUAUUAUAUGUGGGCAGAAGCUGUGCAUACUGCUGUGUACAUUCUGAAUCGAUGUCCUACCAGGUCUCUUGAUAACAUAACCCCCUUUGAAGCUUACAGUGGAAGGAAACCGGGUAUUGCACAUUUGAAGAUUUUUGGCUCAGUUUGUUAUGUUCAUAUCCCAGCUGAAUUAAGGCACAAAUUAGAAGCUAAGAGUCUAAAGGGAGUUUUUAUUGGCUAUGCAAGGUGUGAGAAAGGUUAUAGGGUCUUUGAUCCAUUUUCUAAAAGGGUAAUACUGUCAAGAGACGUUGUGUUUGAUGAAGAUUCAAGUUGGAAUUGGCAGGAAAGCACAGAGAAACAUGUGUCUAUGUUCAAUUAUGAAGGGCAGUCUGGUGAGUCACCAAGCAGUGCAUUCACAGAGGUUGAGACCCCAACCUCUAAUACUUUGCCAUCUAGAAGUUUGACAGAAAUAACAAGUGAUACUGAUAAUGCACCGGUUACUCCUCAAGUCCAAUCUACUGAAUCCUCUAGUAGAUCUUGUGAAAGUACAAGAGAUUCACAAGUGAUUGAUCAUACUCCAUUAAAAUGGAGAAGGCUGGAUGAUGUACUUGCUAAAUGUAAUCUGUGCAUUAUGGAACCAGAGAGAUAUGAAGAUGCAAGUAAGGAUGAAUCUUGGAUGAAUGCUAUGAAGGAUGAGCUUUCAAUGAUUGAAAAAAAUGCAACCUGGGAGUUAGUGGACAGGCCAAGUAACAAGCCUAUAAUUGGAGUAAAAUGGGUGUUUAAAACCAAGCUCAACUUGGAUGGAACUGUGCAAAAGAACAAGGCAAGGCUUGUUGCAAAGGGAUAUGCCCAGAAACCAGGAAUAGAUUACAACGAGACCUUUGCUCCUGUUGCCCGUUUAGAUACAAUCAGAACUCUUAUAGCAUUGGCUGCACAAAAGUGUUGGAAACUCUAUCAACUUGAUGUCAAAUCGGCUUUUCUGAAUGGUGUUCUAGAGGAGGAGGUUUAUGUGGAGCAGCCUGAUGGUUUUGUAGCUAAAGGGGAGGAAGACAGGGUAUACAAACUUCACAAAGCCUUGUAUGGUCUAAAACAGGCACCACGGGCCUGGUAUGGAGAAAUAGAUACCUAUUUCUCACAAUGUGGUUUCACAAGAAGCUUAAGUGAACCAACACUGUACAUCAAGACAGAAGAGGAAGGCAUUUUGAUUGUGUCGAUCUAUGUGGAUGACAUAAUCUAUACUGGGAGCAACAAACAAAUGCUUGAAGAAUUCAAGGAAGACAUGAAACGAAAGUAUGAGAUGACUGAUUUGGGCCUUCUCUACAUCAUUUUCUUGAAAUGGGAAUAAUUCAGACCACUUCAAGCAUUUUCAUCCACCAAAAGAAAUAUGCAAGCUCUUUGUUAGACAAAUUUGGUCUAAAAGAGUGCAAACCUGUGCUUACUCCAUUAGUUGCAACUGAGAAGUUAACCACGAAUGAUGGAAGUGGUGCUGCAAGUGAAGAGUUAUACAGAAGUUUUGUGGGAAGUCUCUUAUAUCUCACUGCAACCAGGCCUGAUAUUAUGUAUGCAUCCAGUCUGUUAGCCAGAUUUAUGCACUGCCCUACCAGUAAGCAUGUUGGAACUGCUAAAAGAGUGCUAAGAUACAUUAAGGGUACACUUGAUUAUGGUCUGGAAUAUGUGAAGGGUAAGAACUCAAUGUUAAUUGGGUUCUGUGACAGUGACUGGAGUGGAUCAAUUGAGGACAGUAAAAGUACUUCUGGUUAUGCUUUCUCCUUUGGCAGUGGAGUAUUCUCUUGGGCAUCUGUGAAGCAAAAUUGCGUUGCUCUUUCCACUGCAGAAGCAGAGUACAUCAGUGCUUCAGAAGCAACUACUCAAGCCAUUUGGUUGAGAUUUGUGCUUGAAGACUUUGGUGAAUUUCAAACCGAAGCCACUCCAGUGCACUGUGACAACACCUCAGCAAUUGCAAUCACCAAGAACUCUGUGUUUCAUCAAAAGACCAAACACAUUAACAGAAGAUACCAUUUCAUCAAGGAUGCACUGAAGGAUGGUAUCAUUGAUCUGGUGUACUGUCCAACUAAUGAACAACUUGCUGAUAUCUUCACAAAACCUCUGCCUAAAGAUCGGUUUAAUUAUCUCAGGAACAUGCUAGGAGUGAAAUCAGCUCAAGACUUAAAGGGGAGUGUUGAAUUAUAAGUCUCUAGCUGAUUAAGUAUUAGAAAUAAGAUGAGUUUUAAUGUGUGUAUUCAUUUGAGCAUAUAUGCCAAGUGUAAGGUUAAAUGAUGUAAGGCCAUGAGUGCCAUGUGGUGUUUGAUCCAUGUAAUUAGGUUGAUGAGUGACUAAGAUUAAAAGUAGUGUUUAGUGUGGUCCUAAAGCUAAGGCCAUCAGUUAAAUGUAAAGCAGUGUGAGUGCUCAUUUCUCUGUGUAGUACAAAAUAUUCCUCUGCAAUAUUUUUGCAGUAGAGAACAAGAAAGAAAAAAAAAAACUAUUUUUCGGUUCAUCUUCCAUCUUUGCUUUUGCUUCUGUUCAGUAUUCUAAAAACAAAUCCAGCUAAAUUAGAGUAACACUAACAACAUGGGCAGGCAACACACACUUCUCGUUCAGUCAAUCCCAAACCUAUGAGAACGCGGAUCUGACAAUAAGUUUUGCUAGUGGUGAUCAUGGAGAUGGGAACCCAUUUGACGGCCGAGGCGGGACCCUUGCUCAUGCAUUUGCACCGACCAAUGGGAGAUUCCACUACGAUGCCGAUGAGCCGUGGGCUGUGGGAGCUGUGGAGGGUGCUUAUGACUUGGAGACUGUGGCAUUGCAUGAAAUCGGACAUCUGUUGGGGCUACGACAUAGCUCUGUUGAAGGAGCUGUGAUGUCCUCCACCGUUCGUACUGGAUUUGCUCAAAGUUUGCAUGCAGAUGAUAUUCAAGGAAUUAAAGCUUUAUAUAGUACUUGAUCUUCACAUGCAUAUUCACAUAAUCAAGAGUACUCAAAGAUUAAUCAUUAAAUUAAGUAGUAUUUAUUAUUGAAGUUCACCCUUUUUUUCAUCCCUUAAUCAAAUAAGGUACCUCAACUUGAGUGUAUUGAAAUUCUGCAAUAAUUAAUUAAAGUUGUAGCAGCAUACAUAUGCUGAAAAUAUGAUUUUUUUUUGGAGCUUUUGAAGCUUAUAGAAAUAUGGAUGUCUGGCCUUCUAUAUGUUGAACGUGUGUUAACUCUGAUGUUUUAGGAACAUGCACAUAUAAUGCAACUUUCAAUUUGUUUUGUAUUUACAGUCAAUUUGUUUUGUGUAAUUGUGUUUCUGCUAAAAUAUUUGAAAAUUUUAUGUAUUAUAUUCUUCUUUGUAUUGAGGCCAAUCCGCCAAUAUGUGUACAGAUUAAUUAUAAGGGAAGAAAACUACAAGAUUGUAAGAAAACCUUAUUACAAAUAGAUGAUAGAAUAGUAUUUUUGCUCUCCUCCUUCCUCUCCUUCCCAGUUGGAGUCUUCCAUCAAAACUUACCAGCUUAACUACAGCCUCAAUUCUACCGUAAAACUAGACGCGGAAACUGUACGGAAUAUGAUGAAGUCUUGAUACGGUGUUCCGGAUAUUGUCAACGGCACCACCUCUAUGCAAUCAGGAAAUAAACCUCACCAUAACGGUGGACAUGGUUUGACUAACACGGUUGAGCAUUAUUCUUUUUUGGAGUUUUAACGAAACACUUCCGGUACUGUUUACUUUUAUCGAAAAACCACAUUUUUACCUUUUCCUGAUAUUAUUCAUUAUAUCUUUAUUUGUCAUUUUUCAUUAAAAUUAAAAUUUGUUUGAACUUUUCGUUAGUUUUCUAUUUUUCAUAAACGUGCUCAUGGAGAUGGAUACCCAUUUGAUGGCCACCGUGGAGUCUUGGCCCAUUCUUUUGCACCUACUGAUGGGAGAUUUCACUUCGACGCGGAUGAACGGUGGGCUGUGGAUGUUGUGACGGGUGCUUAUGACUUGUAGUCUGUGGCUUGGCAUGAAAUUGGGCAUCUGCUUGGGCUUGGGCAUAGUUCUCUGUUCGAGGAGCUGUAAUGCUUCCCACCAUUAGCUCUGGCUUCACACGCCGGAGACUGACUAGGGAUGAUAUUAGUGGAAUCAAAGCUCUAUACAACAUUGGAUCGAUGAUGAUCACCACGUUCACUUAUUAGUAAGUUCAUCAAAAGCCGUGAACUUAUAAUAUUCAUAAUUUUCUGUAUCAAAUAAAUUUGUCAAAAUCCAUGAACUUAUAAUGUUUCUUAAUUUCUUGUAUCAAAUAAAUAUACCUAUUGUACGAAAAAAUUUAUCUUAUAACGGGUAAAAAUUCUCCUCUGAGCAUAUAACUGACGAUAAUUAAGAUUCUCCAAUCAAAUAAACUGUACCUAAAUGUUAUAAAAUAAUAAACAAAUAAAAGUUGUACCGGUAUGUAUAUGUUGGACAAAAUUACAAAGAGCUUUAUUUACAGAUUUCAUCUUCCAAGUCCAAAUCCUUCAUACUCGUGUAACACCUAGACAAAAUUACAUAAAACACAAAGCUCAAUGCACUUAGUGAGGCCAAAAAACCAGUAGUAUUUAUCAAGUCUAGCUUCAUUCAUGUAACUCCGCCUAUGUCUUACAUGGCCGGUCCCAAGCCCGGAUAAAGGAGGAGGGGGAGGGCGUCAGGUAGUCGACAGCCGGCACUCCAUGAUCACGUCGAAUCCUUAUGAAAAUGAAUCCAGAACAAAAUCGCGCUAAAGCUAGGGCGUCACCCGUAAGUGGCGCGCUGUGUGGCCCGAGCACAGUGAUAAGUGAGCAAGGGUCGCUGUAUCUCCAUCGGCACCCGGAUGCAGUGUUAAAUGAGCAAGGGGGCCAUAGAAACUUCUUUUCGAACGACUCCACUCAAAGUUGUUUGGGAGCAUAUGCUCCUAUCAACUUUACCCGGGACACACAAAAGAAGUACUUUGAUCCUAUUAGACGGGGGAGGGUGAAGAAUCUAGGACAGAAGGGUAGAGUUCAAGAGAGCAAAAUGCGUUUAGGAACGUGGAAUAUAGGAACCUUAACGGGAAAAUCUAUGGAAGUAGUGGAAGUUAUGGUGAGGAGAAGGAUAAAUAUUAUGUGCCUACAAGAAACUAAGUGGGUGGGUAGUAAGGCAAAGGAUCUAGAAAACUCAGGGUUUAAACUUUGGUAUUCGGGCACAAAUAGAACGAGAAACGGUGUUGGCAUCAUCGUGGAUAAGACCUUGGUACAAGAUGUUGUAGAUAUCAAGAGGGUAGGAGAUAGAAUCAUGGCAAUCAAGAUUGUAAUAGGACAAGAACUUAUCAAUGUGAUUAGUGCGUACGCACCUCAAGUAGGGUUGGAUACGAGUUCGAAGGAGAAAUUUUGGGAAGAUCUUGGAGACUUGGUGCAAGGAAUUGCUCAGACGGAGAAGUUAUUUUAUAGGAGGAGAUUUAAAUGGACACGUGGGCAGGGAGACAGGCAACUAUGGAGGUUUUCAUGGUGGCCAUGGUUUUGGGGAGAGAAACGAGGAUGGGGAAGCUAUCUUGGAUUUUGCAAUGGCAUAUGAUCUCUUCUUAGCCAACACCUUCUUUAAGAAGAGAGAAGAACAUGUGAUCACCUACAAGAGUGGGUCGUCAAAAACACAAAUAGAUUUUCUUCUAAUGAGGAAAGGGGAUCGUAUAACUUGUAAGGAUUGCAAAGUUAUACCAGGAGAGAGCGUGGCUAAUCAACAUCGCUUGUUGGUGAUGGAUGUACAUAUCAAAAGAGUAAGACAAAAAGAACAAGACUUGGAAGUGCCCAAGAACUAGAUGGUGGAAUCUAAAAGAAGAAAAACAAGCCAUUUUCAAAGAGAAGGUAAUCACCCAAUGUGUGUGGGAUAGAGAGGGGGAAGCUAGCCAAAUGUGGGAUUCCAUGGCUAGUUGUAUCCGAAAAGUAGCAAAAGAGGUAUUAGGAGAGUCCAAGGGCUUUGCCCCACACCAAAAGGAAUCUUGGUGGUGGAAUGAGGAGGUACAAACAAAGGUGAAGGCUAAGAAGGAAUGUUGUAAAGCCUUAUACAAGGAGAGGACCGAUGAAAAUGGUGAAAGGUAUAGAAAAGCGAAGCAAGAGGCGAAGAAAGCUGUCAGAGAAGCUAAGUUAGCGGCUUACGACGAUAUGUAUAAACGACUAGAUACCAAAGAAGGAGAGUUGGAUAUCUAUAAACUAGCUAGAGCAAGGGAAAAGAAGACAAGGGACCUAAACCAAGUGAGGUGCAUCAAGGAUGAGGAUGGAAAGGUUCUUGCUACAGAGAACGCGGUUAAAGACAGAUGGAGAGGUUAUUUUCAUAAUCUUUUCAAUGAAGGACAUGAAAGGAGUGCUUCUUUAGGGGAGUUGAGUAACUCAGAAGAGUGUAGAAAACUACCUUUUAUCGUCGAAUCCGGAAGGAAGAAGUGGUUGUAGCUUUGAAGAAGAUGAAGCAUAGAAAAGCAAUAGGCCCAGACGAUAUACCAAUCGAAGUGUGGAAAGUUUUGGGAGAGACAGGUAUAACAUGGCUCACUGACCUUUUCAAUAGGAUUUUGAAAACGAAGAAGAUGCCAAAUGAGUGGCGAACGAGCACUUUGGUGCCUAUCUACAAGAAUAAGGGCGACGUACAAAAUUGCAUGAACUAUAGGGGUAUUAAGCUAAUGAGUCAUACAAUGAAGCUCUGGGAGAGAGUCAUUGAGCAUAGAUUGAGGCAAGAGACACGGGUUUUCGGACAACCAAUUCGGGUUCAUGCCAGGGCGCUCAACCAUGGAGGCAAUCUAUCUCUUACGAAGAUUGAUGGAAAGAUAUAGAGAUGGGAAAAAGGAUUUACACAUGGUCUUUAUAGAUUUGGAAAAAGCGUAUGAUAGGGUCCCAAGAGACAUUCUUUGGAGGAUUUUAGAGAAGAAAGGAGUACGAGUAGCAUAUAUCCAAGCUAUAAAGGAUAUGUAUGAAGGAGCAAAGACUGCCGUAAGAACUCAUGAAGGACAAACCGAAAGCUUUCCCAUAACUGUAGGAUUACAUCAAGGCUCAUCCUUAAGUCCUUACCUUUUUGCGUUGGUAAUGGAUGAGUUAACAGGACAUAUUCAAGAUGAUAUUCCUUGGUGUAUGCUUUUCGCAGACGAUAUAGUGUUGAUAGAUGAAACUCAGGAAGGGGUAAAUGCAAAGCUUAACCUUUGGAGAGAAGCGUUGGAAUCUAAAGGUCUUCGCCUAAGCCGAUCAAAGACAGAAUAUAUGGAGUGCAAGUUCAGUGCAAAUGGAGGCCAAAACGAGUUAGGGGUGAGGAUCGGAGAUCAAGAAAUACCAAAGAGCGACCGUUUUCGUUACCUAGGAUCUAUCUUGCAAAAGAACGGAGAAUUAGAUGGAGAUCUCAACCAUAGAAUACAAGCUGGAUGGAUGAAGUGGAAGAGUGCAUCCGGCGUGUUGUGUGACCGCCGUAUGCCACUGAAGCUCAAGGGAAAAUUUUAUAGGACGGCAAUAAGGCCGGCGAUGCUGUAUGGCACAGAAUGUUGGGCGGUGAAACAUCAACACGUACACAAAAUGGGUGUAGCGGAGAUGAGGAUGCUUCGUUGGAUGUGUGGGCACACGAGAAAGGAUAAGAUUAGGAAUGAGGAUAUCCGGGGUAAAGUAGGAGUAGCCGAAAUUGAAGGAAAGAUGAGAGAAAAUCGGUUACGGUGGUUUGGACAUGUGCAAAGAAGGCCUACUGACGCUCCGAUUAGAAGAUGCGACUAUGGGACAGAGGUUCAGGGCCGAAGGGGUAGAGGAAGACCUAGGAAAACUUUGGAAGAGACUUUAAGAAAAGACUUAGAGUACUUGGAUCUAACGAAAGGACAUGACACAGGAUCGAGCACAAUGGCGUUCUAAGAUUCAUAUAGCCGAUCCCACUCAGUGACUUGGAUUUUCCAAGUCUCCAACCAAGAAGUUUUCCUCACUCGGGAAAUUAAGGGAACACUACCCCAACCUACAUGCUCCACUCAGAAAGCUUCAACAUACAAGCUUCAACAAAAGAAAAAUUCAAAGAACUUAGCGAAGAAGGCUUUGGUGUAUUUAACACAAUACGUUGAAAUGAAGGAAAGCUUAUUUAUUGAUAUCCCCGAUAAGCUACAAAUAUGUACAUAUACAUGAGUCAAAAUAAACACACAAGAGGGAGCCUUCACAAAGGUUGCUUAGGAGAAGUCUCAGCAGUCGGUAGAGCCCCAGAAAGAGAAGGCACCGGAGGGGGAUCAUUUGGAGCCUCAGUACUGGACAGAACCCUAGGAGGAGGAGGCAUCAGAGGUUGAUCAUUUGGAGCUUCAUUACGCGGUACAGUUCCAGAAGACGAAGGCAAUAAAUGCCUUUGGAACAAACCCACAAAUCUCUGAUGAUCAAGUAAAACCUGACCAUCAGUUUCCUUCAUCUGGUCAAGCUUCCUCUUCAUGUUUGUAGCAUAGUCAUGUGCGAGCCGGUGCAACUGUUUAUUCUCAUGCUUGAGCCCUCUAAUCUCCUGUUUGAGACUCAUCACUUCAGCCGCCAAUGAUUCAACUUGGCGGGUUCGAGCAAAUAGGCGUUGGGCCAUAUUAGACACAGAACCUGCACACUGAACACUGAGAGCCAGCGAAUCCUUAACAGCUAACUCAUCAGACCGUUUGGAAAGUAGUCUGUUAUCUUUGGGAGUGAGAAGGUUCCUGGCCACCACCGCAGCGGUCAUAUAUCAUUCUUCAUCACGGAAUCCCCAACGGUAAGAGGACCAGUUUGGGAGACGAAGGAUGGGCGCCAUAUGUUGUCUGGAGAAGGCGGGGCUGCCUCUUCAACAAGGUUCAAGUCAAAACGACGGUCGGAGGGGCCAGACAUUUUCAAAGGUGUUGAAGAGAGAAGAGGUCGGACAAAUCAAGAUAUUAGAAGUGCAAGAAUGAAGCUUCUACUGGUGGAGAUUCAAGUGUGCUUUGGAACUUAAUGCCAGCCUCUAUAAAAAUCUGCACUCGACGGAGCUUCAGAAAUCAAAGAGGCGCCUGCUCAGAAAUCGAAGAGGCGUUUGCUUUCUCAAAAGUUGGGCUGCUUAGAGAUCACGAGGGUUGAUCUCAGAAAUCGAAGAGCCGUUUGCUUUCUCAAAAGUUGGGCUGCUCAAAGACCACGAAGGCCGAUCUCAGAAAUCGAAGAGGCGCUCGCUUUCUCAAAAGCUGGGCUCCCUAGAGACCACGAGGGCCGAUCUCAGAAAUCGAAGAGGCACCUACUUUUCCAGCCUUGUCAGCACCUGUCACACGCACACUCAGCUUUGCGGAAAUUAUGGGCAUUCUGUCAAAGACUUCUGGGGAAGUAGAAAAACACAUGAAUCUUACUGUGUUCAAUCACCCCACUUCCCACACACGCAACAAUAGCUCAUGGGUACCACAGAUAACUUUUGCCAAAGUUCUCUGCCAAAGUUGAGCACGUGAAGCUUGCAGCUCCCACUACAUCGCUCUGACCAAGAAGGGUAAAAGAGAAUAGCAAAGAAACAGCACUAACAAAGUUUAGACCCAUAAAUUUUGAAGGUCUAGCUACCAUAUUAUUACCCACAAGGGUAAAGGAACAGUACCACUGCUGGAUAAUUGGAAAGUCCAUGUAUUGUCAACCUCUGUGUGCUUCGUGGCAAGGUAGACUAGCAAAUGACAUGCCCAACCACUUUACUCACAUUCGAGAAAAACACUCCCAAUAAGAUUGCUUGCUCCAAAAUCGAAGAGGCACCGUCCUCCGAAUCUAAAGAGCCAGACUCCUAACAUGACUACUUUCUUAAAAAUCGAAGAGCGGGUAAAGGAACAGUACCAUUGCUGGAUAAUUGGAAAGUCCCUGUGUGUGUCAACCUCUGUGCUUCGUGGCAAGGUAGACUAGCAAACAUGCCCAACCUUUACUCACUCACAUUCGAGAAAACACUCCCAACAAGAUUGCUUGCUCCAAAAUCGAAGAGGCACCACCCUCCGAAUCUCAAGAGCCACUCUCCCAACAUGAUUACUUUCUCAAAAAUCGAAAGAGACACUGCUCCCCGAAUCUCGAGAGCCAGACCCCCAGCAUGAUUGCUUUCUCAAAAAUCGGUGAGGUGAGGCACCGUUCUCUCGAAUCAAUCGAAGAGGCGCUCGCUUUCUCAAAAGCUGGGCUCUGCUCAGAGACCACGAGGGCCGAUCUCAGAAAUCGAAGAGGCACCUACUUUUCUAGCCUUGUCAGCACCUGUCACACGCACACUCAGCUUUGCAGAAAUUAUGGGCAUUUUGUCGAAGACUUCUGGUGAAGUAGAAAGCACAUGAAUCUUACUGUUCAAUCACCCACCUUCCCACACGCAACAAUAACUCAUGGGUACCACAGAUCACUUUGCCAAAGUUCUCUGCCAAAGUUGAGCACGUGAAGCUUGCAGCUCCCACUACAUCGCUCUGACCAAGAAAGGUAAAAGAAUAGCAAAGAAACAGCACUAACAAAGUUUAGACACAUAAAUUUUGAAGGUCUAGCUACCAUAUUAUUACCCACAAGGGUAAAAGGUACCACUGCUGGAUAAUUGGAAAGUCCCUGUGUGUCAACCUCUGUGCUUCGUGGCAAGGUAGACUAGCAAACAUGCCCAACCUUUACUCACAUUCGAGAAAACAGUCCCAACAAGAUUGCUUGCUCCAAAAUCGAAGAGGCACCGUCUUCCGAAUCUCGAGAGCCAGACUCCCAACAUGACUACUUUCUCAAAAUCGAAGAGAGGGUAAAGGAACAGUACCAUUGCUGGAUAAUUGGAAAGUCCCUGUGUGUCAACCUUUGUGCUUCGUGGCAAGGUAGACUAGCAAACAUGUCCAACCUUUACUCACAUUCGAGACAACACUCCCAACAGAUUGCUUGCUCCAAAAUCGAAGAGGCACCGCCUUCCGAAUCUCGAGAGCCAGACUCCCAACAUGAUUACUUCCUCAAAAAUCGAAGAGACACUGCUCUCCGAAUCUCGAGAGUCAGACCCCCAGCAUGAUUGCUUUCUCAAAAAUCGAAGAGGCAUCGUUCUCCGAAUCUCGAGAGCCAGAUACCACAGACCACUUUUUCAAAGUGCUCUGACAGAGUUAAAACAUGUGAAACUGGCAGCUCCCACUACCGUGUGCUAUGACCAAGCAGGGUAAAGGAAUAGCAUUACUACUUGUUGUUAGGGAGACUCCUAUAUAUGUCGACCUCCAUCCCCAACGGACAGGCAGACCUGCAAAAAAUGCUCAACCCUUCAUCAUAUCUGAGAGGGCACUCCCAACAAAGCCUUUCGAAAUAUUCAGCUUUCUUUCCCCCCGAUAAUACCUCUGCAAACAAGCUAUACUAGAGCAAGAAUAUCUCAUAUCAUCAGGGUUAAAAGCAAGAGUAUCUCAUAUCAUGCUUUUUCCCUGUUUUUUCUUUUGGCCUUGUUUUACCUGCAAGACAAGGAGAAAGAGAGCAAUCAGUCAGUACUUGGAAUCAAGCUUCCAGCCAGGAAUUGACUGCCUGGAACCCCUUACCUGAUUACUUACCUGGCAUUGCUCUCGAGUACUCAUCUUCAUCAUCUUAUGUUUCCAGGGAAGAUUCCGCAUAUGCUUGAGGAACAGAUAGGGCAAGUGCGAAGGAUACAAGGAAGCAUGUGGAGACAAGCGUAACAGCACACGUGCCGAUACAUCCAUUACUUUGUCAAAAGCAAAAGUAUCCCAUAUCAGCAGGGUGGAACGUACUCUAGAUUUGAUGGACUUGUUUUGACCCUCAAAUUCUCCAGUCGGCCUUAUACUCUGGAGGAAACCAGAAAACCCUCCCAGCCAGCUCAGUUCAAGAAUAAGCCUGUGGAAAAGUUACUUCUUCAAAAGCAAAAAAGUAUCUCAUAUCAUCUCUUCUCAUUUUUCUUCUCUUUAUCCUUCAUUGCUGCUGCUGCAAGAUGGGAGAAGAGAAGGUGAACAAUCAGUCGGAGCUCUGAUUGCUUACCUUGUCUGUCACCUCUUUCAGCAGACCCCCUAGCUCGGCGACUUGGGGGACUCCUACUACAUGGUUUGUAUCGCGCUUGACCAAGCCUGAAACUACAAGUAAGCUUCAAGUGAAAUUGAUACAUUACCUUGUGCAUCUUCCACCAGUUAAAGAUACCACCCCUGGAUGGAGGAAGAGUACUUCCAGAGAAGAUGCCACAUCUACCUAUGAGACAGAUAAGGCAAGUCAAGACGACACCACACUCCGAUACUUAGAAGUUUCGUGAUUACGAGAUCAUUAUCCCACAAUAUUUCCUAAUGUCAUUUGUACUAAAUCAUUCACUCGUACUCACUAAAGGAGAGCUUGAACCUAUGUACUUGUGUAAACCCUUCACAAUUAAUGAGAACUCUUCUAUUCCGUGGGCGUAGCCAAUCUGGGUGAACCACGUACAUCUUGUGUUUGCUUUCCUAUCUCUAUCCAUUUAUAUACUUAUCCACACUAAUGACCGGAGCAAUCUAGCGAAGAUCACAAAAAGCGACCGUUUUCGUUACCUAGGAUCUAUCUUGCAAGAGAACGGAGAAUUAGAUGGAGAUCUCAACCAUAGAAUACGAGCUGGAUGGAAAGAGUGCAUCCGGCGUGUUGUGUGACCGUCGUAGGCCACUGAAGCUCAAGGGAAAAUUUUAUAGGACGGCAAUAAGGCCAGCGAUGUUGUAUGGCAGAGAAUGUUGGGUGGUGAAGCAUCAACACGUACACAAAAUGGGUGUAGCGGAGAUGAGGAUGCUUCGUGGGAUGUGUGGGCACACGAGAAAGGAUAAGAUUGGGAAUGAGGAUAUCCGAGGUAAAGUAGGAGUAGCCGAAAUUGUAGGAAAGAUGAGAGAAAAUCGGCUCUGGUGAUUUGGACAUGUGCAAAGAAGGCCGACUGACGCUCCGGUUCGAAGAUGUGACUACGGGACAGAGGUUCAGGGCCGAAGGGGUAGAGGAAGACUUAGGAAACUUUGGAAGAGACUCUAAGAAAAGACUUAGAGUACUUGGAUCUAACGGAGGGCAUGACACAAAACCGAGCGCAAUGGCGUUCUAGGAUUCAUAUAGCCGACCCCACUUAGUGGGAAAAGGCUUUGUUGUUGUUGUUGUUGUUGUAGCUUCAUUCAUGUCAUCGGAGAACCAGCUCUGCCUUCCUCCUGAACUUGUAACUGCUUCAACUGUUGCAAUCAAAAGGGUACUCAGGUAACUUCCCACCCCAAAAACACUAGUGUACAAUGCAAAGGCCAUUGUUCUCAUUCUUCUGGGGACUUCAGAGUAAAAGAACUCUUGUAUUCCAACAACGGUGAAAAUGUCUGAAAUGCCUAAAAGAAUGUACUGUGGAAGUAGCCAAAAGAUGCUAAACGGUACAGUUUCGGAUUGAGAUCCCAGCAUUUCCAUUUCUCUGCUGAUCUUGAGCCUUUUUGCUUCCACAACCGCUGCAAUGACCAUUGCUAUGACCGAAACGAACAUUCCGAUCCCCAUCCGUUGCAUCACGCUAAUACCCUUUUCAUUAGACGUAACCAGACGCGUAAUCGGGAUCAUUAUUUUGUCAUAUAGAGGCAUCAGGAGGAUUAUGGAAAGUGUGAUAGCGCUUUGAAGAGUUGCUGGUGGAACCUUGAAGUUGCUUCCAAUGUUCCUCUUCAUCGUCAUGCCUUGUUUGGUGAAAAAUGUUGGAGGCUGUUGGAAAAUCACUGCAAACAUCAAAAGCAUAAUCCAUAUUGGCAGAAGCCUCAAAAGCACUUUUGCAUUUUCAAGCACGUAGAAGCCACUUUUGGGAUUCCCAACCAAGCUUGCUGUGCUGCUAUUAUUUUGACGGCAAAGCGGUUUCUCUUGAAGCCUAUAUAGUAUAAAACCAGCCAAAUAAUAUAUCAUUAGCAUCAGAAUUCAGUUACAUUAAUUCUAAUGAAAAUGACUUGAAAACUUUGAGUUUUAACGAUAAUAACAAAAUAAAUGGUAAAGUGAAUAGUACUGUAAUUGACUUUUUAGUAUAAAAAUGUGGUUUUUCAUUAAAGUGAACAAUACCGAAAGCUUUUCGUUAAAGUUUCCGUAAUCCUAAGAGAAAAUUUUUUAUCCACACUCCCAUUUUCUCCUUUUGGCAGUCGUCCAUUUAUUUAUGUCACUUCAUUCUCCUUUGUUUAUUCAACCCAACAGGUAAGGGAGGAGUGCAUGGGAGAAAAACGGUGUGGGAAAAUCAUUUCUUUAAUUGUAAACUUGACCGUUAAAACCACAAAAAGAAGUACCAUGUUAGAAAUUAGUUAACUUACUCUAGCUCGGUAACAUUAGUUUCAUUCGGUAAUAUGAUUCUGCAUUUCAUUAACUUUAAUGCAGUUGCCUUGAUGACUUGAACUAUGUUGAAAAUAGGCUUAUAAUCCAUGGCCUCAUCAUUCUCUCUAUAUGUAUAGAUUCGGCUUCCACACAUAAACACCACAACCGAUAUAACCAUCGAUAUCAUGGGGAUGGCGAAACCUAUAAUCCAACCGAAAGUGUCUUGAAUGUAGGACAUGAGAGUGACACCCAUGAGGCUGCCACUGCAAACACCAAAAUACCACCACUGAAAAAACAUUCUCUUUUUGCUUGAUUUUUGAUCGUCUUUGCUGCUAGGAAGUUCCUCUUCACUGUCCAGUUGGUCUGCUCCAAAUGCUUGCAGCGAUGGGUUGUAUCCACCUUGACCUAGAGAAAUCAAGUACAGAGAGCAAAACAGAAAUGAUGAAUUGGAACUUGUUUUGUUUGCAGCAGGUGUUGCCCGUUUGAAUGCCGUUGAUGUCAAUGCCACAAGCCCCUAGAAACAAAACCACGUACAUGUGAGCUUAUAGUUUCACCUUUUCUACACAUUUAGAGCAAAAAUUUAUCGUGACCAAAUUGAAAGUCGUGAGGCCAGAUUAGAAAAAGGUCAUAAACGGUAGUUGUAGUUGGGAGGUUUUAUUUAUAAAAGACCUCAGCGCAAUUAGUAGUAAACUUGCUUGUUUUUUUUUUCUAACAGUAAACCCGCUCAUUAUGACCUUAUUCUUCAACAAUAAAUUAAGAGGCAUUUCUUAAAAAUCUCCACUAUAUUCUAAUGGAAAGAAGAUUAGUGCAGAUGACUCAUACUCCAUUUUAAAUCUAUCAUCAGCAACAUCUUGAUAAAAAAAUUCCGAACAAAAAAAAAAAACAUUAUUUGUGCUGAGCUUUUAAACUUUUAGCAAAAGAGGAAUUUCUGUUCAAUAAGAUACCUAAGUAGAUGCAUCCACUUUUCACUAUAGAAAUUCCUAUUUAUCAGUGAUAUCCUAUGAUCAAGAUAAUUGGCCUAAAUUUGCUAAAACUAUUUUAUAGAUAGUCAUUGAUAUUAAGUAAGAGUCCAAAGAAGAGAGUAAGUGCAUAUGUGGGUUAGGUCAGUUGACCAGUGCAGUGUGCACACCUUGCGCUAGAAUUUGAAUCUCACUUUCAACUAGUUAGAGAUAUCCCUUUUUGUCAAAAACAAAGGAAGGGAAGGGAGAAAACAAAGUGAAUGUGUACACUUACUGCAACAUAGAGGAAAGAAGAGACCAAGAUGGUGGGAUAUCUAUCCCAGUAAGAGUCGACAAGGGGUGCAACUAAGAGUGGGAGCAUGGAUGUGAACCCACACCAACUGUUUACCGUCUUGGCCGCUGCCGAGUUGCUCAUUUUCACCACAUCGGUUAAAUAAGUCACUAGAUUUGAUGCCACUCCUUUGUAUGCAAAUCUCUCCAUCCCAGCAAUCACUAUAAUUAUAAAUAAACAGACAAAAAUUAACCCAUCUGGCCGGUAAAACUCAUAUCAUGAAGAGAGUAUGAUUAAAUUACCUAUCAGAAGAAAGCAAGAGGAGCCGAGUCUUUUUCCUCCUGAUCCAGCCAUGAUGUUCCAAAAUUAUAUCAAAGGAUGGCUGCUUGUGAUCCCUUUAACAUAUAACCUCUGCUUUGAUGUGAUGCGAAGCUACUAGAGUAUUAAGCUAUAGCCACGGAGCUCGGCUUUGGCUCUCCUAUAAAUCUGUCAUCAUUCGAAGAUUACUGUGCUGCUACUGUUGUUUUCAUAUUCCCACCAACAAGCAAUAAUGCAAACUUCAUCAUCAUUGGCAAUAUAUUUCCUUCCUUCCCAAACACUAUGUUUUGUAUAUAUAAUGAUAAGCUCUCCAACAAUGCUCGCACAAAAUUAUAAGGCAAUGGAAAGAGCUAUCAGAGUUUAAUGGAUUCCACUUUAUUUUAUUUUUUUUCAGUUUUGGGCAUGGUGUCUUCAUGGCGACGUGACCAAGAAAGCAAUGAUCUGAUGCAACAAAAUAAGCCCCAUACGUCAGUCUCUAACGUUCACUGUUUGAUAUCUACUGAUAUAUGUACCACAUAAUGGAACACGUGGAGCGUUUGACACGUAGGAUGGGGCCAGCCCUCCUGCUUUGUGUUCCAUGUGAUGCGAAUCAUGUGAUAUUAGGAAAAAAUUUAAUUGUGACGGAAAUACGGCGGGUACAUCACGUGUUUUUAUAUAAAUGGUGGAAAUGUUUAAUUUUUAAGUUAUUAACAUUUUAACAUACAUAACCCACCAUUUAUAUAGGGACACGUGAUGUACCACUUUGUUUGACGGGAACACUGAAAAAUCUCUCGUGAUAUACAUGGAAGAUUACCAAGGUUAUUCCAAUUAAGUUUCAACUAGUAAUUAUAUAAACCAUAUAGACUUGAUGGAUGAUAAAUAAAUGGGAUACUUUCAUGCAAUUAAACCCUAAAAGUAGCUUACUUAACCAUUAAUGUUUUCUUGCCAACCAUACAUCAAAGGCAUGUUAGAAUAGGUUCCUUAAUUUUUAGAAUUUUCUCUGUGAUUAUUGUUUUUUAAGGUAAUAAGUAUUUUAUUAAACAAAUAAAACGAAAAACAUCGACAUCAAAAUACAAUUUUAUAAGACUUUUUUUAUUAGCACACCAUAUACUGUUGAAUACAUAUUAAAUGACUUAUACACCUUACUAUGCAAUGCCAAUUUCGACCUUAUUAGGUUAGAAUAAAAAAUAAAAAAAUUGAAUAAACCCAAAUCGCUUUUAACGUAUUAUUUAUCUACUUUUUUUGUCUUCCCAACAAAUGCAAGCAAAAUGAUAAAACUGCCGGAUUAGAACUUGAAUGGGUGUGAAGAAAUUAACGAUAUUGCUUUAUAUAUGUCGUCUCACAGCAUAACCCCAAUUAAAAGAAAUGAUAAUAGUAAUAAAAUGGCUAAACACAAUCUCUGUUCUGCACUCAACACCAAUAAAUAAAUAUGUUUUCUUUUCAUACAUAUGAAAAUGCAAUGAAACUACAUCAACAUUCAACUACGUUUUUGCCAAUCUGGGCAAAGUCCUAGCAAUAUUCACAUUACAAGAGACCUUCUGAUUGUUCUCCUUUCCCUUGUUGCUUUUACCCUCGAAUUUUUGUCAUUAAACCUCAGCGUAUUACCUCGUUUGCCACCUUCAACAGAGUCACAGCAUCCUCAUCUUCCUCCAAUCUUGAUUGUGACUGAGUAUUAUAAGAUGUGAAGAAUGUGGGGUGUAUAGAAAAUAUAAGGUGUAUGUUGAGAAUAGGGGUGGGAGGGUAAUAUGGGAAAGUAAAUAGGAUGUAUUAAGAUAAAUUUUAAUUGAAAAAGUAAAUAUGGGGUGUAUUAAGUAUGUAGGAUUUAUUCAACAAUAUGUGAAGUGUAAAUAUAAUAAACCUUUUAUAAUUAUAAACUCAACAGAAAGACAAUAAAAAAGUCACUUUUAAGUUAAUUUUAUUUACUUUACAUUUCUCAUCCGAGGAAUGAAAAGUAAAUAAAACCAAUUUAGAAAACAAUACUCGUAUAUUCAAAAUGAUAACAUAAACAUCUUAUAAAUUGUCAAAUUAUUUUGCAUAUCAUAUUUAUUUUGCAUCAAAACUAAUGAUUUGAUGUAAACAUUUCACAAACAAUAACAUGCAUGUGCCACACUUAUGCACGUAAUUUCCAUAUAAUUAAGAUUCAAUACUAAAAGAUGAAUGAAGAUCCUCUUCGAAUCCUCUUUGUGAGAAUGCCGGAAAUCCUUUAAUCGUAUUCGUUUAUCGUACAUCAUGCGAUCAAAAAUCAUUGUAAAUUUUUCAUUUCAAAUUGAAUAUUAAUAGCAUUUGACAAAAAUUAGUCGUACGAUAUGCAAUAAACAGACAUGAUUAAAAGAUCUUCGAGAUCUUCAAUAAUACUACUAGCUACUACUACCACAAGAUAAUAUUCCAUGAUGAUCAGAAAGCAGCCUCUUUAUCCUACGCAUAAAACACUUUUGACUGAGUGUCCAAUCUCCAUUAAUAAUGACAUGCAACUUUCACCAUUUUUAAUAUUAAGGUUUCCAUUUUUCAUUUUCAUGUUUUUCACUCGCCAAACCGGUCGGUUCUCUCCUUUCAGUCUGUUACAAUUUGUUCAUCUUUUUGUGUCGAUAAAUCCGCACAAUUAGGGCAACAGAAGCAAUCAAGUUUUGAGUUCGUUUGAUGUUUGGAUGCGUUACGUUUGAGAAUUGAACUAAGAGAGAGAUUCAUCAGCAUGCGUUACUUGUGAAGGCAAAGCAUGCAGAUGAUGUGAAGUUGUGAAUGACAAUGAAUGAUGUAUUGGAUUACUUAUGUUGUAAGCCAUUUGUUUAUGAGUUGUUAACGACAAAAGUAAUCUGAUAGUCCUAGUGAAUAGGGGUGGGCACUUAAAACCGAAACACGAACCAAAUCGAACCGCACCGAACGGUUUGGUUUUGUGGUUUUGGAACGGUUUUGAUUUUGAAACCGAACCGCAACAUAGAAAACGGUUUGAUUUCGGUUUUGGCUUUUGAAAACCGCACCGAAACUGAAUCACAUCGCAAAUAUUAAUAAACAUUUAAUUAAAUGUCCAUAUUAAAUUUCAUGUUUUAAUUUGUUGUUUGUUAGAAUCCAUGCACUUAGUAUGGACACAACCACACUAGAAUAUCAUCAUUCAUCACUUUCUUUCGUUCAUUAACUUGAAGGACCUUUGUUAUUUUAUACCAUCACACACACACACACAUAUAUGUACAAGGGUGGACUAAUCUUGUUAUCAAGAGUCGAACAAUGAUCUAAUGAAGUGCACUCAUUUGAAGCAUGAUAUCACAUAUUCUAGUAUGAAAGUUUCGCUCAUGUUUAAUGAAUUCAAAGUUAUUCAACUUGUUUUAUGUUAUACCUUGUACGAGACACCUUUUAGUUGCACAAACAUAUUUUAACAUAACAACUGCAUGCAACAUGCUAAUUGUUUAUAUAACAAAUGUCUUUUUCUUAUUACUACUGGGAAAUGCUUAUUAAUAUGUUAAAUUGCAAAUUGUACAUUUUUUCUUAAAAACCAAACCUAAACCGUUUGAAACAGCACCGAACCGAACCAAACGGUUUGGUUUCAUUUCGGUUUUGGCUUCAAAACCGCACAGAAUCAAACCGCAAAAAAAUUUGGUUUCGGUUUUGGUUUCACUACAAAUAUAUAGAAUCAUGGUAGGACUCAAUCACUUAAGUAAUAAAAUGGCUAAACACAAUCUCUGUUCUGCAAUUCAACACCAAUAAAUAAAUAUGUUUUCUUUUAAUACAUCUAAAAAUGCAAUGAAACUACAUCAACAUUCAGCUACGUUUUUGCCAAUCUGGGCAAAGUCCUAUUACCAUUCACAUUACAAGAGACCUUCUGAUUGUUCUCCUUCCCUUGCUGCUUUUACCCUCGAUUUUUUGUCAUUAAACCUCAGCGUAUUACCUCGUUUGCCACCUUCAACAGAGUCACAGCAACCUCAUCUUCAUCCAAUCUUGAUUGUGACAGAGUAUUAUAAAAUGUGAAGAAUGUGAGGCGUAUAUAGAAAUGUAAGGUGUAUGUUGAGAAUGGGGUGGGAGGGUAAUAUGGGGAAGUAAAUGGAGUGUAUUAAGAUAAAUUUUAAUCGAAAAAGUAAAUGUGGAGUGUAUUAAGUAUGUAGGGUUUAUUUAACAAUACGUGAAGUGUAAAUAUAAUAAACCUUUUAUAAUUAUAAACAAGGUUCUAAAAAACGCUAGGCGCUAGUCGAGCGGCGGGCUAGCGCCUAGCGCCUAGGCGGCCUAGGCGGAUUUAGGUAAAUUUCUUGUAUAUCUUGUAAAUAAGUACAUAUUGACACCUAAAAAAAAAUUAUACUUGUAUGGAUAAUAAAAUAAUGGUCAAAUGCAAAUUAGGUACACAAUUUCCAUAAGUAUUGGAUGAACUUGUAGUAAAUCCAUCAUUUGCAAAUUAGAUACACCAUUUCCAUAAGUAUACCACCAUGAAACAAAAAAAAAGAAAAAAGCACGCAAUUAAUAAAAAAUAAAUAAUAAAAAAACCUCCUAGGAUCGCCUAGGGCCGCCUAGGACCGCCUAGCCCACCUAGUUGCCCAGCACGCCUAGGCCCAACCCGAUUUUUCCGCCCGAUUUGCCCAAAAACGCCUCGGUUGCUAGGCACCCAACGCCUAGGCGGCCGCCUAGGGCGUUUUUUAGGACAAAGAUUAUAAACACAAAAGAAAGACAAUAAAAAAAAAGUCACUUUUAAGUUAAUUUAAUUUACUUUACAUUUCUCAUACAAGGAAUGAAAAGUAAAUAAAACUAACUUAGGAAACAAUACUCGUAUAUUCAAAAUGAUAACAUAAACAUCUUAUAUAUUGUCAAAUUAUUUCGCAUAUCAUAUUUAUUUUGCAUCAAAACUAAUGAUUUGAUGUAAACUUUUCUCAAACAAUAACAUGCAUGUGCCACACUUGUGCACGUAAUUUCCAUAUAAUUAAGAUUCAAUACUAAAAGAUGAAUGAGGAUCCUCUCUAGAUCUUCUUUAUGAGAAUCUUGGAAAUCUUUUAAUCAUAUUCGUUUAUCGUACAUUAUGCGGUCAGAAAUUAUUGUAAUUUUUUUAUUUCAAAUUGAAUAUUAAUAGCACCUGACAAAAACUGAUCAUACGAUAUAUGAUAAACAGACAUGAUUGAAAGAUCUCCGACAUCCUCACAAUGAGGAUUUGGAGAUGAUCCUCAAUAAUACUACUACUACAAGAUAAUAUUCCAUGAUGAUCAGAAAGCAGCCUCUUUAUCCUACGCAAAAAACACUUUUGACUGAGUGUCCAAUCUCCAUUAAUAAUGAUAUGCAACUUUCACCAUUUUUAAUAUUAAGGUUUCCAUUUUUCGUUUUCAUGUUUUGUACUCGCCAAACCGGUCGGUUCUCUCCUUUCAGUCUGUUACAAUUUGUUCAUAUUUUUGUGUCGAAAAAUCCACACAAUUAGGGCAACAGAAGCAAUCAAGUUUUGAGUGCAUUUGAUGUUGGGAUGCUUUACGUUUGAGAAUUGAACUAAGAGAGAGAUUCAUCAGCAUGCGUUACUUGUGAAGUGCAAAGCAUGCAGAUGAUGUAAAGUUAUGAAUGACAAUGAAUGAUGUAUUGGAUUACCUGUGUAGUAAGCCACUUUGUGUAGUAAGCCACUUGUUUAUCGAGUUGUUAACGACAUAAGUAAUCUGAUAGUCCUAGUGAAAUACGGAUUAUGGAAUCUUAACCCUUGCAAUUGACCUCAAAGAAAUCUAAUAGGUUUCACUACAAAGAUAUAGAAUCAUGGUAGGACUCAAUCACUUAUGUGAUAGGUUUUGAUUUUCACAACCAAUAAUAGGCCGGCUGUGAUUAAGCCUUAAUGAUAUAAGUACUAUGGUUAAGUCCCUUCUUUCAUACGCUUAAUCUCUUAGAUACGCUAUACGCUGGACUCUAUUCAUAUAGCAGAGAGAUAUUAUUGAAUUCUUGGAAGUAGAAGACAACCUGUGGACUCAAGCCACCAUGUCUCCAAUCGGUGCAAGUUAGUGUCAUUCAUCUUCUUCUUGUAAUUAUCAUGAUGCAUGUUAAAUUGUGAUCCUAGAACCAUGUUGUAUUAGCCCACCUUACAGAUGACACACAGAGACACACAAGUGACAUACGCAGACAUACAGUUUACACACACAACUGCAGACGUACAGACGUGCAUGCACCUGCACUUAUUUUAUAUAUACAGUUGUGUAUAUAUAUGCAGUGGUGGCUGACGAGGAUGGCUGCUACGUAUAAGUUUUAGCUAGGAAUUAAACUAAGAAAUCUAAAUUCAAAAGUUAGGUAAAAGAUAACUAGCUGAAGAUAUGUAGUCUGGGAAGGGACAGAUGGAGGGAGCGUGAAGGUUCUUCAGUGCUUCGAGGAGUAGUUAUAAACUUUUCAUUUGGGUGGCUUGCAACGAUGGAAAGCACUUGAUUUCUUUAUGAAAGCGACUAGCGAUUUGUAGUGAAAGAUUUAUGAGAGAUAAAACAAAACAAAACCGUCAGUCCUAGGAAAGUACAGUCAUGUAACGUUACUAUUUCACUUAAAUUAUAAUACCUAUAUUUGUAUUUUAUUAAUAAAUUUUAGAAGUAAGACAUAUCAGUUAUGUCUUUAACCUUUAUUAUACAAAUAAUACAUUAUGUGACUUGUGUUCUCAGUAUUUAUAAAACUUAUAUGAUAUUAUAUUUUCUCAAGAGAUGAGCGCCUUUUAGUGGUACCCUACUUUUGAGUUGUGCAUGGUUGAGCUAGCUACACAUGAUAAUCUUUACAAGAGGGGUCGACAGUGACAGGGACAACAAUGGAGGUAAAAGAACUGUCGUUUUGUAAUCUUAAAUUCUACGAUGGUUGAGUUGACACACGUAUGCAAAGCAAUAUAGAGACAUGAGUGCGGACACAUUCUUGGAUAUUCUUCCGAUUUACAUAAACACACUCCACAUGUUAUGCUGUAUUUAUAGGUAUGGAAUUUUUGUACAGCGCAGUUAAUUACACCUUUGAAUGUAACACAAGGGACUAUUAUUUAUAAAUUAAUUUAUUAAUUUAUUAAUUUAUAUUGUUGAUGCACGAAAGAGUAACCAACGGAUAGUAGAUGAAGUUGAUCAGAUGUGCAGUUGUGCUAAUUACAAAAGACGCACUCUCAUGAUGUUUAGUUUGUUUCACUUAAACACCACAUAUAUGUAAACAUUUAGUACUUGUUUGGAAGUCUUUAAAAUGACUGAAAAUAUUUUUAGUGAAAUUAUUUUUGGAUUCCAAAAGAAUUUGAACUGCUUUCUUCAUGAAGCACCAGUGAUGUGUUUCUUGCAGGAAGCAUUUCAAGUGUUUUUUUCAAAAUUCACUUACAUUUUUAUUAAAGAUUAAUUUCAAAAGCAAUUCAUCAAAAGUACUAUCAGUCAUUCUAAAAUCACUUCUAAAAUGUUACCUUAUUAUAGGGUUUUUUAGUCAAAAUGGUCUUUGAGAUUGACAUAUAUAACUUCUCACGUUGGUUCUUGAGAUUUAAAAUCGAUAGAAGUAGUCCAUGAAUUUGUCCACCGUCAAUCAUUUUCGUCCUUUAUUUAUUAAAAUUGUGGGUAUUUUGUCCUUUUGGUCCUUAUUUAACAUUUUUCAUGGAAUUACCAAAAUGAUUGAUGGAGGGACCAAAGUGAAGAGCUAUUUCAAUCUCAAAAGACCAUUUUGACUAAAAUAUCUUAUUUAUAUAUGUUCAUACCGUAUCAUACAUAGACUUAGCUUAGAUUAUAUCCUUAACUUGUUUGUGGUUUCUUUUUUCGCAUAGGUUUAAUCAAGUCUAAGUUGGGAAAGAAUGUUUGAGAUAAUAUAAACUUUUGAAGUUACGUGAAGUAAGUGAAAUUUAUAUUUAAUGGACAAUGUAGUGACUUUCUCUUUCCUGAUUAACUCAUCGUCAUCAUCAUAUGAUAAAAAUGCUUACGUGACUACGUCAAUCAAAUGGCCUAGGGGAACUCCCGGAGUGGAGGAGGAAUGCUUGAGAAGGAAUUUCAGUGGCCGAUUUGCAGAAGACUUUUUAGUCAAAAUGAUUUUUGAAAUUAGCAUAACUUUCUCUUUGGUUUCUGAAAUUUACUUACUUUGGUCAAUAUUCAUUUCCAUCUUGAUUAUAUCUUCAGUUAUCCCAUUACUCAGAAACUCGGCAAAAAUCUUGCUCCAAAUAUUUCCUGGAGCACACGAGCAGGAUUUGAGAAAAGCUCUUAUCGAGGUUAGGAAGAUAAGGGGGGUUUCUGGCAUUCGAAACUGGCACGUGUGGAGUUUCACAAACUCAGACGUAGUGGUGUUUCGACAGAAUUUGACAGGGUUGCUGCAAGGGCACGAGUAUCACAGGUACUACACGAAGCUGGAGUCAAGGAUAUAACAUUGCAGUUGGAAUGCGUUGGGUCAUAGCAUUAGAACUUUGACAACUUUCAUCCCUUGACAGAAUUGACAGUGACAUUGUAGCCCAUUUAUUGUGGACUCGAUGCGAUUUAGGACCCUGUUGGCGAUUCCAGAUGGGUUCUCCGGCGCCUCUUUCGCCAUCGUUUGGGGACUUCUUUGUGUACAUCUUGAAGCUGAGAAAAAGAUUUUGUCAAACAUUAUGAAGUUUAUGAUACCAGAUGUUUUUCUGCUUGAAGAUGGGCAUGCAUCUUUCCCUCUUGUCAUGAGAAGUGGUAGCUCAUGUUUGUGUGGCUAAUGAAUGUAAUGGUGUUUGGACAUGUCAAGAAACAUGCAAAGGGCAAUAGUUGUGUUGGGUAGAUUGGAUGUAUGUAAACUUCUUUUAGUAGGUAAUACAAUAUAAUGUAGUUUGUGGUUCAUGUUCGAGCGAUAUUCUGAUAUAAUUUAUAUGUUCGAGAGAUAUUAUGACAUAAAAUAUAUUAAGAGAGAAAUUCAAGUGUGAGACUAUGUUUUAGCUAAUUUGCCUACGUUUAGUCUGCCUUACUUUAACUCUAUAACGAGAAUUAUCAUUGAAAUACUAGAGAGUUGAUAAUGAUUAUGUAUAUUUCAAAUUAUUUUAAUCUACGGAUAGAGAGACUCGAACAAGUGAAAGGAUAUAUUUUUGACAAAGGAUAAUGUUAUUUACACAAUCAUUUUUACCUUCCACACACCCAUGUUAAUUUUUGUCAUUGAUUUCUUCAAUUCAUUCAAUCCAAUGGUCGAACAUUGAGAGGGUUGUGUGAGAACUAAAAAGAGCGCGUGGAAUGUUCAAAAAAGAAUUCCAGAUUUUCUGAGCUCUCAUUUUCUCUCUUUAGAAACUCUCUCCAUAAACCCCCUUGAACCAGAGCCAAACCCUAGCCUUCCUCCAUGGCCGCCGACCUUUGGCUAAGGCUAGGGGUCGGUGGCAGCUUCUCCUCCUCCUCCUAGCCUCCCUCCCUUCUCCCCGUCCCCUUUUUCCUUUCCAUUCCCCCUGCCACCUCAAUUUUCUCUUGCCUCGCCAAACACCCCCUCUGUUUCUUAGGCCAUUUCCCCAUCCUAGCCUUUCUCAGCCUUCCACCCUCAUUUCCCCUCUCGUUUCUCUCCUCUUUCAUUCAGAUCCAGACCUUGCCUUCCCAAGGGUGCUGAUCCGUUGGAAUCACGUUUACAUCACUCUGCUUGGUGUUGUGAUUUGCCGGAAUCCAUGCUCGGAUUUGAGCGCAACGCUUCCUUGGUGGUGUUGCUUUGGUUUGGGUUUGCAAAUCUGGCGGUGGCUUUGUCUGGGCCACUAUUGUUGGUGGUUGCAUUUUUCAGAUCUGGAAUUUAUGCCGCAUGUGGUUCAUCUUUGCAUCUCUGCUGGACUUGUGGAUGUGGCGGACCCAGAUGGUGUUUAGGGUUUUUGUCGUCUUGUGCCUCGGCACGACUAUAAUCCUUGCCUGAGGGUUCUUUCCCCCACCGGAUUGUGUCGUUUAAUGGUUCCCUUCCUGGAUUAGUUUUUCUAGCCUAGUUUAGUUUAAUUUAAUUUAGUUUAGUUUUGAGUUAGUUUAGUCUAACUCUAUCGCCACGCCUAACGAGUGUUAUGGCCGCGCUACAAUGAUGGUUGUACUUGGUUUCCGCUUUGAGCGUUAUAUUAUGUGGUCUCAUCUACUAACGAUGACUUUAUGUGGUCGUGCUAUUCAACGGUGACUGUUUGCAUUCACCUAUACAAAUAUGUUAUAUAUUGUUUAUAUGACAGGUUUGUAUGGAUGUAAUGGGAAGUUCUCGUACAUGUGGUAACUGUCUAGGGGUUUACUAUUAUUGUCUCUUUUGCACAAAUUCACCUUCAGAUCAUUUUCUUGGACGCUGAAGGAUUGUACCCAAUUGACACCUAUAUAUUGCUCUCGAAUGAUUAAUGAAAUACCAAAUAUCGUUGCUUAUCAAAAAAAAAAAAAAAGUGGGCGUGGAUAGCGUGCCAAACGACGUCGUAGAUGGUGUCGAGUUCAAGCAAGAUCUAAAAUAUCGAUAUUAUCUUGAUAUUUCCAUCGAAAUUUCCGUGUUUUUGGACUACCGAUAUUUCCGAUAUCAUCGAUAUUUUAGACCUUGAUAGGAACUCUAUGUGGUACUAAGUCACUCAUGUAUCUUACCAUGCAAUGUAUAAAGUGUAAAAUAUUGUACUAAUUCAUUGUAUAAAUGAUUAUGAUGUGUUUAAACUUCUUUCAUUAAUUACUACAUAUUUUAUACACUCACAAUGUUUGCCAGCUCGCUAUAUAAUCAACUUAAAUUAGUUAAAUCCAUCAUGCAAUGCAUUUCUUUCCAAUUUUUUUGUGAUAAACUAAUAGAUAAUUGACUAAAUAAACAUUCUGUAAAGUUUCAAUAAAAAUUUCCAAGUUUUUCUUACAAUUUCCGUGGUUUUUAUUCAAUUUUUAUCGAUAUCGAUAAUAUCUCGAUAUUUCCAUCAAAAUUUCCAUGUUUUUGGACUACCGAUCUUUCUGAUAUCAUCGAUAUUUUAGACCUUGAUAGGAACUCUACGUGGUACUAAGUCAUUCAUGUAUCUUACCAUGCAAUGUAUAAAGUGUAAAAUAUUGUACUAAUUCAUUAUAUAUAAAUGAUUAUGAUGUGUUUAAACUUCUUUCAUUAAUUACUACAUAAUUUAUACAUUCACAAUGUUUGUCAGCUCGCUAUAUAAUCAACUUAAAUCAGUUAAAUCCAUCAUGCAAUGCAUUUCCUUCUAAUUUUUUGUGAUAAAUCCUGCAAAGUUUCAAUAAAAAUUUCCAAGUUUUUCUUACAAUUUUUGUGGUUUUUAUUUAAUUUUUAUCGAUAUCGAUAAUACCGAUAUUUCCUUCAAAAUUUUCGUAUUUUUAGACUACCGAUAUUUCCGAUAUCAUCAAUAUUUUGGACCUUGAGUUCAAGUAAUAUUCUCCCUUGGGAUCCGAUUUUAGCAAAAUUAUGAUUAAUUCGCAAUUCUCACCACAGAAGCAAAAAGUCAGCAUAUGUGCUUUAGUAACGAACUCUCUUCUCCUCCUCCAAAGCUUCAAACUUUGAGCUUGUCUCCGAGGAGCUGAGAUCUCCAGCCCAGCUCAAGAUCUAGGGUUUCCGUUUCAGUCAUGGGGGAGAAGGUAGUCGCUGUAAUCAUGGUGGGCGGGCCCACCAAAGGUACUACUCUUCGUACAAUUCAUAAUCUUUUCCUUCAAUUUUUGUUCUUCAAUUUUUCUGAUUUUUUUGCGUUUGAAUUUCUGGUCAGGGACUAGGUUUCGGCCUCUGUCAUUCAACACUCCGAAACCGCUGUUCCCAUUGGCUGGGCAGGCUAUGGUGUACCACCCCAUUGCAGCUUGUAAAAAGGUUAGCUUUUGGCUUCUGGCUUUUUGCUUUUGGAUUUUGGCUUUUCAACCUUUAACCAAAAUCCCAUCAAAGAAUUUUGAUUUCGAACUAAGUAGCAAGAUUUGAAUGCUUGCUUUUAUGCUACAGAUACCCAAUUUAGCACAAAUCUAUUUGGUUGGAUUCUAUGAAGAGAAAGAAUUCGCACUGUACGUGUCUUCCAUUUCCAAUGAGCUCAGAGUGCCAGUGAGGUACUUGAGAGAGGACAAACCGCACGGCUCGGCCGGCGGACUGUAUUACUACAGAGAUAUCAUCAUGGAAGACAGCCCGGUUCGAAUUCUAUGCUUAAUUCUCGUUUGUUUCCAUUUUCCACUGCUAUGUUUGUAAUAAGAUUUUGCUUAAUGCAAUGUUGUAUUUGUCUGUGGAACAGUCGCACAUCUUUUUGCUGAAUUGUGAUGUUUGCUGCAGUUUUCCGCUUGCAGACAUGCUUGGUGAGUUUUGUGUUCUGUAUUCGUGUAUGUUAAUUGGAAGUUUAUUGCGUGUAAUUAUAGAUAAGAUUUCAUAAAAGUAAUUCCUUUUAUUGCUUCUUGUUGUUCGUCGUUGCAGAGGCUCAUAAAGGAUAUAAGGGGAUGGGUACAAUGUUAGUAAUUAAGGUUAGUUUGGUGACAGACAGCUUGAAUUAUUGAAUAAUGUUGCAACUCUGCUCCAUAUUGCUGAUGCUCUUUCCUCUUGUUUUUUCGUCAUUCUAUUCUUCGUUUUUUGGUUCAUCUGUAGGUUUCUGCUGAAUCUGCAAACCAGUUUGGGGAGUUGGUUGCUGAUCCUGCCACCAAAGAAUUAUUGCAUUAUACUGAGAAGCCAGAGACUUUUGUACGUAAACGAUGCAGUAAAUGUUCAGAAAUUGUUCAUUUAGUUGGUGUUUGAUGAUCUCAAUUCUUCGUUUUAUUUGCUUGUUCCCGACCACUUUUUGUAAGGGUUAUCUAUUUUCUAAAUGCAGGUGAGUGAUUUGAUCAACUGUGGUGUAUAUGUAUUUACUCCAGAUAUUUUUUCUGCCAUUCAAGAAGUCUCCAGUCACCGAGAAGGCAGAGGUUUGUCUUUUUCUCUACUGGCAAUAUAGUUGUGGAUUGGUUUGCACUUGGGAUCAAAUUCUGGCUCUAAAGAUAUUAUGUUACUUGAUUUGUAAUUAUUGAGAACAAAUUUGGCCUCAACACUUAUUGCUAUUCCUAUUUUCCUUUACCCCUAUGAAGUAAAUAUGCAUAAAUUUUUCACAGUGAAUGAAUCAUUUGCUACUCCAUAGAAUAUUCAAAAUGAAGUCAUGAAGCUUGGAUCAUGAUGCAAAUGAAUAGCCGUGCAGAAUUCAUUGACGUCUGUCCAUAUCUGAAUAAUGAACUUAUUAUAGCUAUUUCUCAUUUGAAUUCCCUGGUUUCCAUCUUCUGGGAGUCUGACUUUGUAUUUGACAAUUGCAGCUAAUUUACGUCGUGUUUCCAGCUUUGAAGCCCUCCAGUCCGCAACAAGGUUGACAUCUUUAUCCUGGUUGCAUACUUAUACUUUGAAUAAUGAACUUAUAGCAAUUUCUCAUUUAAAUUCCCUGGUUUCACUUGAGAAGUGCUUACCGCUUGUCCAGAUCGUAUACUUUGUGAAUACCUGUUUAAAAGCUAAGAUCUUUUUGUGUUAGUACUUAGUACUAGAAGAAGGAACUUUUGUUUGGAAUGUCAUCUCUUGUGGCAUGAACGCAGUGCGUUUAGAAAUAGAGUUGUAACUGGUUUAAAUUUAGUGUGUGUCAGUUUUAAUGUUGAUUUACACUCCUUUCAACAGGACUCUUCCUACAGAUUUUGUUAGAUUGGAUCAAGAUAUUUUGUCACCUCUUGCUGGAAAGAAGAAACUGUAUACAUAUGAGACCAUGGAUUUUUGGGAACAGAUCAAGACUCCUGGGUAGCCUAAUUUAUCCUAAUAGCUUCCUUUAUUUUUCCUUUUUCCUUAAUCUUUACUAUCAUUUGCCUUAUACUAAUCUUUGUUUUCUGUUACAGAAUGUCUUUAAAAUGUUCGGGUUUGUAUCUUUCUCAAUUCCAAAUUAACUCCGAACACCUUUUAGCUAGUGGAGAUGGUACCAAGAAUGCUAGAAUUGUUGGUAAUGUUUAUGUUCAUCCAUCGGCAAAAGUACAUCCAACUUCUAAGGUAAGUUCACUUUCAUCUCAUCUUCUACUAAUAUACAUGUACCCCAUUUUGUUCUGUUCUUAUUUGCGGUUGCAUGUAUAUAUUGUACAUGAAUAUUGAACGGUGUAGGAUGGUGAAUAUAGUGGAGGCAGUAGUCAUUACUGACACUCUGAAGUAGAGCUUCCUUCUUCUGCAUUUCCUUCUAAGUGCGACUUACUUUUGUGCACAGAUUGGUCCCGAUGUGUCUCUUUCAGCAAAUGUUCGUGUAGGGGCAGGAGUAAGGCUUAUAAAUUGCAUUGUCUUGGAUGAUGUGGAAAUCAAGGUAUUGAAGUUGGUAUAUCGAUGGAUAAACAAGAACCAUAGCAUAUUGGGAAUGCUUUAGUGAAUUUAUCCAAACUUCAUUGUUCUAUUUCAUGACAGGAAAAUGCAGUCGUUAUAAAUGCUAUUGUUGGAUGGAAGUCGUCUAUUGGAAAAUGGUCGCGUGUCCAGGCAAGUCUAGCUAUGUAGUUGCAUGAUAAGGAAAACUAACAAACUUUAGCGAAUUAAACUAGUAACUCACCUUUUCUGUUAAGUUAUAGAUUUCUAUAAACUUGUACAGCUUGCUCGUCAUUCUUGUGGCGAACUAAAAACUUAAUUUACUGGUUUAGGCUGACGGAGACUACAGCGCAAAGCUUGGAAUUACCAUCCUCGGUAUGCAUGCCUGGUUUCUCAAUUCUUUCGUCUUUGAAUUUGAUGCCGUGGAAUGCACAAGUUUAUUUUUCAAUGCAUUUGACCGAUUUGAAGAGCCCUCUCGUUUUCUUUUCGCAGGAGAAGAGGUGACAGUUGAAGACGAAGUUGUGGUGAUCAACAGCAUCGUUCUCCCAAAUAAGACUCUUAACGUUAGCGUACAGGAGGAAAUCAUUCUAUGAUAUUCAAGAGAGAGCUUGCUUCCUGGUUUUUGCUCGCCGCUCGUGUUCAUGCCGGUAUUUUUGUUUAAUUAUUUUGGUUAACCAGCGUACCGUAUAAUUCAGCUACACAAGAACAGCUACGCAACAUUUUUGUUUCGACGGAGAAUGCAUUUGUAUCAGAUAUGUAAAAGUUUAUUUGUUUACGAAGGAUUGCUUUUCAGUGGGUUCAAAAACAGUCUCAAAUGUGCCGGAAAGCGUUAAUGUCGAAAUGAAAUCGAACUUGAGACCUCGAGUUACUACUUUUCUAGUACCUAAAAAUUCAAAUUUAACUUUAACUUUAACUCAAUUGGAGUAUAUAUAAGAGUAAAUUGUAGCAAUGGUUCUUCAAUUUUAACUCAAUUGGAGCAAUGGUUCGUCAACUAAAAAUUCAUUAGCAUUGGUCUUUUAACUCAUCAAAACGUGCAGCUAUAGUCUCUCAACUAAAAAUUCAUUGUCAAUGGUCCCUCAACUUUAAUCCAACUGGAGAAAUGGUCCAUCAAUUUUAACCCAAUUAGAGAAAUAGUCUCUCAACUUUAACUCAAUUUUAGCAAUAGUCCUUCCAACAUAACUCUUUUUAACAAAAUUUUGACGAAGUUGACGAAAAUGAUCAUAGCUACACGUUUUGAUGAGUUGAGGGACCAAUAGUAAUAGAUUUUUAGUUGAGGGACCAUUGCUACAAUUUACGUUAUAUAUAUUAUAUCACAUAAAAUUGGCCUUUUAGCCAAAAUGAUACAUGAAAUUGACAUAGCUUCUCAAUUUAGACCAUGAGAUUUGAAAUCGAUAGAAGUGAUUCCUGUGUUUGAAUAUUGUCAACCAUUUUAGUCUUUUUCUUAAAAGAAUUUCGUUGAAUAAGGGUAAAAUAACAAAAAUAUUUUGAAUUUUUGUGAAAUCAUUUUGGCCAAUUUUAUACUAAAUUGAGGUUAUUUUUAUUAUUUUGAUCCUUGUUUAACAACGAUUUUUUGCGAAAUGACCUAAAUGAUUGACGAUAAACAAAAUCGAACCAUUUCUAUCAAAUUCAAAUAUUAGAAACCAAAAUAAUGAGUUAAACUGAUCUCACAAUUGUAGCUAAAAAGUCAAGAAAAAUAAAGAAGUCAAUAGUGUCGAAGAGAAAAGUCCAAUAAUCCGACAGAUCCGAUUGGUAUUGCCGUAUUGAUCCAGUCGUCACUACACUAACCAAAACUGCACUACUACAAACAAACUGAAAACUCUCCACCGCGGGGUCCACCCACCAUUAGCAAGCAAACGACCGACUGUAAAGUGCGUCUCCUCCUCUUCCUCCUUCCCUUCGAUAUCAUUUCGCCCAAAGCAAAACAAACGACAAUGGCUUUCUCAUCGUACAUCGGCAGCACCCGCCGCGGCGGUUGGGCCAACUCCCUCCUCCCCUCCUCCUCCGCUUCCAACCCCAAAUCCAAGCUCACCAGAAAGCCCCGCAGGCGAUUAUCCCUCCGCGACUUCAUCUUCGCAAACUUCUUCAUCAUCGGCCUCUCGAUCUCCCUCUUCCUAUUUCUCAUCGUCAUCCUCCGCUACGGCGUCCCCACACCCCUCUCCACCCACUUCAAAUCCAAAUCCUCCACCCGCUUCUCCAAGCCCCGAAAGCCCGUCUCCCGCAAACCCGAUUCGGGCGCCGACGCCGCUGCGGGGGCCACCGUUGACAUCACCACCAAGGAGCUGUACGACAAGAUUGAAUUCUCGGAUGUGGACGGCGGGCCGUGGAAGCAGGGGUGGCGGGUGAGCUACAAAGGGGACGAGUGGGACUCUGAGAAAUUGAAGGUGUUUGUGGUGCCCCAUUCGCAUAACGAUCCCGGCUGGAAGCUCACCGUCGAAGAGUACUACGAUAGGCAAUCCAGGCAUAUUCUCGACACCAUUGUCGAUACGCUUUCUAAGGUGAGCAAAAAGAUUCAAACUUUUAAUUGGGUUUUGCUUGAGCUUAAAUUUUACUCAUUUGGGUUAAAUUUUAUUGUUUUAUAUGAUUAGUGCAUUGAGUUCAUAUAUUCCGGUUAAUAUAUCUGCUAAUGCUUUUUCUUGGAUUGAUUGUUUUAAUUAUGGAAGAACUUGCAUUUUGUAUGAUAGCAGUAAUUGCAGCUGAGAAAAAACUAUAGGUUAACUACAUAUAAUUUUGGUUUUGCUGUUCUGUUGAGGUUUUUCUGUUUUCGAAACUUUCCGAGAUUGUGUGUGAUUCAGUUGAGUGGAUUUUUCCUGGAUGUGUAGGAUUCUCGGCGCAAGUUUAUAUGGGAAGAGAUGUCUUAUCUGGAAAGAUGGUGGAGGGACUCCUCUGAUCACAAAAGGGAGUCAUUCACAAAUUUGGUGAAGAAUGGUCAGCUGGAAAUUGUUGGAGGUGGCUGGGUAAUGAACGAUGAGGUAAUAUUCAUAUAUGUAAGCUUUUGUUUAAUUGCAUGCUUGUUUUUACUGGUAUAGCAUAUGCUUAGACUACUCUUAGAUCUACAUUGAUUUUUUAACCAAUGCGUUCGUGUUGUUGAAGCUUAAUAGAUUGGUUCUUCUUCUUGAUGCAGGCUAAUUCACAUUAUUAUGCCAUAAUUGAGCAGGUACAUUAUAUUAAAUUUUUUAUAUUGUUCUUUGUUAAGAUUUUAUGCAUCUCUUAUGCUGCUGAAUUGCUUCUUAUAUCUUUCGGCAAUUGAUGUAUCAGAUGACUGAAGGAAAUAUGUGGUUGAAUGAAACUGUUGGGGUUGUUCCUAAAAAUGCAUGGGCAAUAGAUCCGUUUGGAUACUCACCUACCAUGGCAUAUCUUCUCCGUCGCAUGGGUUUCGAAAAUAUGCUUAUUCAGAGGACCCAUUAUGAGCUGAAGAAGGAACUUGCACUGCAUAAAAAUUUGGAGUAUAUAUGGCGUCAGAGCUGGGAUGUGGAUGAAACUACUGAUAUUUUUGUCCAUAUGAUGCCCUUUUAUUCUUAUGAUAUUCCACAUACUUGUGGGCCAGAGCCUGCCAUUUGUUGUCAGUUUGACUUUGCUCGAAUGCGUGGCUUUGUUUAUGAACUUUGUCCGUGGGGAGACAAUCCAGUAGAGACCAACCAGGAAAAUGUUCAGGAGCGGGCACUUAUUCUACUGGAUCAAUAUAAGAAGAAAUCAACACUGUACAGGACAAAUACACUUCUUAUUCCUCUUGGAGAUGAUUUCCGCUACAUAAGCAUCGAUGAAGCUGAAGCUCAGUUUAGGAACUACCAAAUGUUGUUUGACUAUAUCAAUUCUAAUCCCAGUUUAAACACAGAGGUCAAGUUUGGAACUUUGGAAGAUUACUUUUCGACCCUUCGUGAGGAGGCUGAAAGAAUAAAUCAUUCACUUCCUGGUGAGAUUGGUUCUGGUCAGGUUGGGGGUUUUCCUUCUUUGUCAGGUGACUUCUUCACUUAUGCUGAUAGGCAACAGGACUAUUGGAGUGGCUAUUAUGUGUCCAGGCCUUUCUUCAAGGCUGUUGAUCGAGUACUCGAGCAAACACUUCGUACCACAGAUAUGAUGAUGGCUUUCCUGCUUGGGUACUGCGAGAGAGCACAAUGUGAAAAGUUGCCCAUGGGGUUCUCCUACAAGUUGGCUGCUGCCAGGAGGAACUUGGCUCUUUUCCAGCAUCAUGAUGGUGUGACUGGUACUGCUAAAGAUCAUGUGGUCCUGGACUAUGGGACUCGGAUGCACACAUCUUUGCAGGACUUGCAGAUUUUCAUGUCUAAAGCUAUUGAAGUACUGCUUGGAAUACGCCAUGAGAAAAAUGACAAUAACCCUUCUCAGUUUGAGCCAGAACAGGUGAGAUCUAAAUAUGAUGUUCAGCCUGUCCAUAGAGCAAUCAUGGCCCGUGAAGGAACUAGACAAUCAGUGGUGUUUUUUAAUCCUUUGGAGCAGACAAGAGAAGAGGUUGUGAUGGUUAUUGUUAACCGUCCAGAUGUUACUGUUCUGGACUCAAACUCGACAUGUGUUCAAAGCCAAAUAUCUCCUGAGCUGCAGCAUGAUAAAAGCAAAAUAUUUACUGGAAGGCAUCGUGUCUACUGGCAGGUUUCUGUUCCCGCCUUGGGGUUGCAAACAUAUUACAUUGCUAACGGGUUGCAUGGAUGUGAAAAGGCCAAACCAGCAAAACUAAGAUUCUUCUCAAAGUCUAGUUCUUUAUCUUGCCCCACUCCAUAUGCAUGCUCAAAAGCAGAUGCUGAUGUGGCUGAAAUCCAGAACAGGCACCAAAUACUCACCUUUGAUGUGAAGCAUGGUCUGUUGCAGAAAGUCAGCUAUAAGAAUGGUUCCCCAAAUGUUGUGGGUGAAGAAAUAGAUAUGUACUCUAGUUGGGGAAGUGGAGCCUACCUAUUUAAACCCAACGGUGAUGCACAGGUUAUCAUCGAAGAAGGUGGGCAGUUGGUGAUCUCUGAGGGCCCUUUGGUGCAGGAAGUAUACUCUUAUCCAAGGACUGAAUGGGAAAAGAGCCCCAUUUCUCAUAGCACUCGUGUCUACAAUGGAGAGAAUACUGUACAGGAAUUUCUCAUCGAGAAGGAGUAUCAUGUUGAGCUUCUUGGUCAGGAGUUCGAUGACAAGGAGUUGAUAGUUAGAUAUAAAACAGAUGUUGAUAACAAAAGAAUAUUCUUUUCUGAUUUAAAUGGCUUUCAGAUGAGCCGGAGAGAAACCUAUGAUAAAAUCCCAGUUCAGGGCAAUUACUACCCUAUGCCUUCUCUUGCAUUCAUGCAGGGGUCUGCUGGUCAGCGGUUUUCAGUCCAUUCCCGGCAGUCUUUGGGUGUGGCAAGUCUUAAAAAUGGAUGGUUGGAGAUUAUGCUUGACCGUCGUUUGGUAAGAGAUGAUGGACGAGGUCUUGGACAAGGAGUGAUGGACAAUCGUGCAAUGAAUGUAAUCUUCCACAUCGUUGUGGAGUCUAACAUUUCAGCCACAUCAAACCCGGUUUCCAACCCAUUGCCCUUAAAUCCCUCGCUUCUUUCUCACUGCGUCAGUGCUCACUUGAACUAUCCGUUGCAUGCAUUCAUUGCCAAGAAGCCAGAGGAGUUGUCAGUGCAGCCACCCCCAAGGUCUUUCUCCCCCUUAGCCGCUCCCUUACCAUGUGAUCUGCAUAUUGUAAGUUUUAAGGUUCCCCAACCUCUAAAAUACUCUCAGCAACCUCUCGAAGAUUCUAGGUUUGCCCUAAUUUUACAGAGACAGAACUGGGACGCUUCAUAUUGUCGGAAGGGCAGAUCAGGGUGCACUAGAUUUGCUGAUGAGACUGUGAAUCUCUUUUACAUGUUCAAGGACCUUAAGGUAUUGAAUGCGAGAGUUACUUCCUUAAAUCUUUUACAUGAGGACAUGGAUAUGCUUGGGUAUACUGAGCAAUUUGGAGAUUUUGCUCAAGAUGGACACGUUCUUAUCUCUCCAAUGGAAAUACAGGCUUACAAGUUGGAAUUGCGGCCGCCCAAAUGAAUGUACUAGCAACUGGUUUCUUACUGUAUUCUCAUUGUUGCUUCUUCAGCAGGGUUUAUGGCUAAGAGCUAUGACGCAUCCUUAUCUCUCCCGUAGAAAUGCAGGCAUACAAGUUCAAGUUACUACCACACGGGCAAAGGUACUAGUGACUGAUUUCAUUACUGCAUUCUCAUGGACGCUUCGUCAAUGGGGUUAGUAGCAAAUCACAAUGGUUUCUCACAUCCCGCUAUCAGCCUGAUGAAAGUGGGAACCAUAUACAUGCUGCUACUUCAAUACAUGUUGCCAAGUCAGGGCAUAGACAACUAGUAGAGUAGCGAUACAGUCGAAGCAGUCAUCCACGGUUGCCCUUGCGAGCAAUUCGAUUGAUAGACUUGCCCUCGGGAUUCUUUUUGUUGUAAAACUGCUGCUGACAGUUAUGUAUGAGAUUAGGACUAGUAUUUGUGUUCAAAAUGAUAGUGAGGUAAGUGGUAAUGUUUGGAUUUUGUUUCAGCUAUGAUUUUGCUUGUAAUGUUUCGCAUCCAUGAUAUAGAGGGCUAAUUUGUUGUCUAAGUACAUCCAUCCAAGAGAUUUUUAGGUAUGAUCACCCGGGCCAAGUCACCUGUCCGUCCAAAGACAACAACUUUGGUUUGAGCACCAAGACACAGUGGUACGUAGGGCCGGAAUGUAUGGGUUGGUCUUGGGUGAGAUUUUGUGCAUGGAGGGAUGAGGCCGUUCAGAAGGCCAAACCCUAGAAUUUCUCUCGUCCAAGACACAAACAAGGAGGACCUCUUGUAUUUAGGACCGUCGACCCGAAUGCAAAGAGCUCUCUUCUUUGUGUCUUUGAGCGGGUGAGAAACUAUUGUACAAAAAAGGGAAAAUUAUGUGACAAGCAUCCAUUGUAACAAGCGCAAAACAUCUAUUGGACACUUGGCAAGAGAGUCUCUCCUCAAACAAGGAAGCAAAUUGUCCGCCUUUCUAUUAUGGUGCACUUCUCAUCCCCUUUUAUUUGUACGGUUACAGUUAAAUCACAUCAACAUUUUAUAUUAUUAUUGUUUUUUGUUUUAUUAUCUUUAUAAAAAUAUCAAUAUAAAAUUUUAACGUGGCUUAACCAUAACCACACAAAUAGGAGGGGAUGGAAAGGGCACCAUAACAGAAGGGCAGACAAUCUGCCUCCCUCAAACAAACUCGUGAUGUGACAAACAUCUAUUGAACGAUCAACUGGGCCAACUGGCUGGCUAUGCAUAUUAGGGAAGCCGGAUGAGGAUCCUGUUCGGAUCCUCUUUGUGAGAGUUAUGAGGAUUCUCAAAUUGUGUUAGUUUAUCGUACAUCGUACGAUCAAUUUUCUUCACAUGCUAUUCAUAUUUAAUUUUAAAUAAAAAUAUUUAAAAUAAUUUCUAACCAGACGAUGUAUGAUAAGCAGACACAAUUCGAAAAUUCUCAUAAUCCUUGCAAGGGAAGCCCAUAUCCAAAUCAAAGCCCACGUGCCUAAACAUUCCCUAAGAAACACAUACGCACGCUCAGAGCUGCUGAAGCCUGAAAGCGACUCUCUCUCCUCUCUCUUACAAAGAUAAGCGCUUUCUCUCAACUCAAGAAAUUUUGGUUCUCCGAUCAGAGACCGCCGCCGCGUCCUCUGUCACUCUCUCUCUUCCUCUCAGAGGUCAGUCGCUCCUCCGCCGUGUUCCUUGUUUAUAUUUCCGAUGUAAAAUCAGUUCAAUUUCUGGCACGAUAUUUUCAGAUCUAUCACACUUUAUUUCUAGAUCUUCCCUUACGGAGCUUCUGAAAUCAAAGUUUCUGGAAUUUUUAUAUUUCGGCUGCAAUUAAUCUGAAAUUAUGAUUGAUUUCGUUUUAUUGGUAUGAACAUUUAAAUUAAAUUAUGGGUUUUUAUAGCGAAUUAUUUUUGUUCUCCUGUGAUCUGUUAGAUCUUCAACCUGCUGUAAGAGGAAUUUCUCGCAAAAUAAUAUUUUUAUUGUGAAUUUGUUUACUUCAAUUUCUCGUUGUUUGUGAUAUAAUUUGCCUAUAGAAAUUAUCUGAAUUGCAAUAAUUUGGGAAUUUAGUUAUUGAAUAUUAGACUUGAAUUUUGAUGUGAAGAACAUUGUACUCCAGAGGAAGCAGAGACAAAUUUAGGAAAUUGAAGGAAAGGUGAUUUGGGGAAAUUUUCGGCACGAGAAUAUAAAUUGGUAACGAUGCCUGCACAGAAGAUCGAAACGGGUCACCAGGACACUGUCCACGAUGUAGCCAUGGAUUACUACGGAAAGCGUCUAGCAACAGCUUCGUCUGAUGCCACCAUUAAGAUAAUUGGUGUUGGAAACGCAUCACAGCACCUAGCUACAUUGUCAGCUCAUAGCGGCCCUGUUUGGGAGGUAGCUUGGGCGCAUCCCAAGUUCGGGUCGAUCCUUGCUUCCUGUUCUUACGAUGGUCAGGUGAUCAUCUGGAAGGAGGGUAAUCCGAAUGAGUGGCAACAGGCUCAUGUUUUUAAUGACCACAAGUCGUCAGUAAAUUCCAUUUCUUGGGCGCCUCAUGAACUUGGUCUAAUCUUAGCUUGCGGUUCUUCUGAUGGGAAUAUAUCGGUUUUCACUGCCAGGGCCGAUGGUGGUUGGGACACCACUAAGAUAGAUCAAGCCCACCCUGUUGGAGUAACCUCAGUUUCAUGGGCCCCAGCAAUGGCUCCUGGCGCUCUAGUAGGAUCUGGUCUGCUUGAUCCCGUUCAUAAGCUGGCAUCCGGUGGGUGCGAUAAUACUGUGAAGGUGUGGAAGCUGUACAAUGGGAUUUGGAAGAUGGAUUGCUUCCCCGCCCUUCAAAUGCACAGUGAUUGGGUGAGAGAUGUAGCCUGGGCACCCAACUUGGGACUGCCAAAGUCCACAAUCGCAAGUGCUUCGCAGGAUGGAACAGUGGUGAUUUGGAUUGUGGCUAAGGAAGGCGAGCAAUGGGAAGGGAAGGUUUUGAAGGAUUUCAAGACCCCGGUCUGGAGGGUGUCAUGGUCACUAACCGGAAAUUUGCUGGCGGUAGCUGAUGGGGAUAACAAUGUAACAUUGUGGAAAGAAUCUGUCGAUGGCGAGUGGCAACAAGUAAGCACAGUCGAGCCAUAGGUUUUGUGAUCACCACUACUUCCAAUUACUGUCGUAACGGUAUUUUUCAUCAACUAGAUUGAUAGCGUCUUAGAACAGAAUUAUGUCGGUUUUAUUUUCAAUACUUUGCCUGUAACAGUUAGUGCUUUAUCGAAUUGGUUUUUUGCUUAUUGUGGGAUGAAGAUUCAGGUUUCGUGUUGUAAUCAGUUGGAGUUGUUCGAUCGUAUGUGUUUUCACUGGUGAAACGGUAAGGGGUGUGCUGUCCACAAACCUUUUUUUACUUCUUACACAUCCUUGUUAAUUUUUUUCCAUUGAUUUUUUUUCAAUUUAUCUAAUCCGGCUGCUGAAAAUUUAGAAGAUUGUGUGAGAAGUAAACAGAGGUGUGUAGAUAUCACACCCCAAUGGUAAUAGUCAUAAGUUACUACUCGUUGGUUUUCACUUGGAGAAAAUGCUCAAGUUAUGACCAAACUAUGAUAUCUUUGCCAAUGUUGCAUACCUGCGUGGCAAGAUUUUUGUUAGUCGGGGAAUUCAAAAAUGACGCGUGAUUGGAACGGGAGAAUGAAUCGAGAUCCUCUCCGGAUCAGGAGCCGACGGAUCAAGUAAUUCGGAUAAUUUAUUUCAAAUCGUACGGCUUUAUUAGGAUGAAGCCAAUGGAUCAAGUAAUUCGGAUCAUUCAUCUCAAAUUGUACGGCCUUCAUUACUCCAUCUUACUGACUUAUUUCACAAAAACCAAGAGUACCCUCCUCCUCUUUUGAACGGUUUAAAUCGAAUUACGUGGUCUGUCAGCUCACAAAAACCAAGAGUACAAAUCUCCCUCUUCCUCUUUUGAACGGUUCAAAUCGAAUUACGUGGUCUGUCAGCUCACAGAAACCAAAAGUACAAAUCUCCCUCUUUCUCUUUUGGACGGUUCAAAUCGAAUUACGUAGUCUGUCAGCCCAUAGAAACCAAAAGUACGAAUCUCCCUCUUCCUCUUUUGAACGGUUCGAAUCGAUUUACGUGAUCUGUCAGCUCAUGAUCUCAAUUACAAAGAAGAAAAAGAGAACAAAGUAUAGCAACCAAGUUCUUUUUAUCCUCUACUUUAGCUAAUUAGAUACGUGGUCCAAUUGCAAAUUGCCAACUCACUCGAUUACAAUAAUUGCAAUAGUAAUUAAAUUUUAUUUUAUUAGAAAUUGAUUCACAAAAAUCCCACAACAAACUUGUACUCGCUUUCGCAGUAGGUACUUGUCUAAAUAUUAAUCUCCUCGUUUGGUCCACCAGUGGUGAAUCUGUAAUUUCCUCAAAAACCCAGGUCAAUCUCAUCAGCCAAUCAAAAUUGAACGGGCAGAUAUAAAGAUUGAAGAUUCCAGGAGGCGCAAGCCACAGAGAGUGAGAGAGGCGGAGAGCUUCCAGCAAAUAGCCAGCUCGUUCAUGGCGGCGCCAGCUCGCGCCUUCGUUUUCUCCCGCGUCGCCGACCUCUCUCUCAAGCCAUCCCAACCGCCGCCACCGAUUUCCCGCCACCUCCUCGUCCGCCCCUUACUCCCCUCCUCCUUUCCGCGGCGACGUGUAUCCGCCGGUUCAACUUCUUCUGUCCGAUGCCUCAUCUCCGGCGUCGACGGCGGCGGCGUGUCGGACGAGUUCGUCUCGACUCGGAAGUCCGGGUUCGACCGCGGGUUCUCCGUGAUUUCGAACAUGCUCAAGAAAAUUGAGCCACUCGACACCUCCGUUAUCUCCAAGGGCGUUUCGGAUUCCGCCAGGGACUCCAUGAAGCAGACCAUUUCUACUAUGCUGGGGUUGCUCCCGUCCGAACAGUUCUCCGUCACCGUUAGGGUUUGCAAAGCCCCUCUCCACCGCCUCCUCGCAUCCUCCAUAAUCACCGGGUAAUAAUUCACAUUUUUAUCCCCUUUCUUCAAAUUUCAGUAAUUUCAGUGCGUAAUUGUAUUAAUUAGAGUAAAAUUGCUUUGGGAUUUAUUGUAUCAAUUAGAUAUACACUGUGGAACGCGGAGUAUCGGAUAUCGUUGAUGAGGAAUUUCGACAUAUCCACGGAGAAUUCUGUGCCGUUGGAUCGGUCGGAGAUGGAUGGGGUGUCGGAUAGGGUGGAAAGCGAGGAAAGGGAUGGUGGAAAUGGUAUCGGGGUGAGUAGCGAACUCUUGGAUUCAGCAACUCCUCAGGUUUUCGGCGAUUUGCCUCCGGAGGCUUUGAAUUAUAUCCAGACGUUGCAAUCAGAGCUGACAAAUGUGAAGGAGGUGAGCAUUUGCUCUCUGAAUUUUCUGUCCUUUUCAUUUCCACAAUUACUAGUGCUUUUCUUCGAAUUGAGCCUAAAAUAGUCGAAAAUUCUAGUUUGGACUGCUUUUUUUAAGUUUUGAAAGCAAGAUCAAAGCUCCUUUUUGUUUGGUUUAUGAUCUUCCAAGUUUUAGGUUCUGAACGUUUUUAUAUUCGUUGUAUGUGUCUUGUAUCAAUCUUAUAUACGAAGGUGGCAAAUCAACCCAUUCGGUUGUCAAUAGGUAACCAUUAAGACCCGUUUAGUUUGAUUUCACCGUAAUAAGGUGGUGAGAUUGGUGGUGGUAAGAAUGGUAGUGGUGAUGAUGGUGUAAUACCUUAUUAUGUUGAAAUCAAACUAAACAGGUCUUAAUGGUUACCCAUUAACAACCCAAUGGGUUGAUUUGCCACCUCUAGGUAACGAUGCUCAAGUUUUGUGUUUUUGAGCUUAAUUUGAUAUUGAAGUUAAAUGCUUGAAGGAUUGUGCAUUGUUUUAAGCAGAAUGUGGGAAUGACAUGCUUUGCUUUUUUCAGGAACUGAAGGCGGAAAAGCAGGAAAAUAUGCAACUAGAAUAUGAUAGAGGACCUAGGAAUGAUUUAUUGGAGUAUCUACGGUCUCUAGAUUCUAAUAUGGUAAUAAUCUUACUUUGCGAUGGGGUUGCAAUUUUUAUGAGUCCAUCCUUUCUUAUGAUGCUACCAUCAUUUGUUUUAACAGGUAACUGAACUAUCUCGACCGUCAUCAUUAGAGGUGCAGGAAAUUAUACACCAGCUUAUUCAAAAUAUAUUGCAGAGAUUCUUCAAAGAUGGUACUUCCUCAGAAUUUGUUGAGGAUUUGGAGACAGGGGACAAAGAGAUUAGCCUAGAUGCUGAUGGCGAACUUGAGACCAUAGGAACUUCACGAGAUUACCUAGCGAAACUGCUUUUCUGGUUAGACUCCUGUCAUAGUCCUCCUUAAAUGGCUUGUUUUUAUUGCUUGUCCAAAUUUGCUUUGCAUGAAGUCACUUCUGGGAAUAGUCCGCGUUCACAUAGUUUAUACGUAUAGUCGUAGGCGCAAAUAAAUGCUCCAGAUUUCUGAGAUAUCGUACUAGUUGAACCGAUUCCAUUAACGAUUGAAAUUUGAAAGUUCACAUUUCGUUUGGCAGGUGUAUGUUGUUAGGUCAUCAUUUAAGAGGCUUGGAGAACCGAUUACAUUUGAGUUGCGUUGUUGGAUUAUUGUGAAGAGGGGAAAGUGCGAAGCGUGUACAUUCUUCAUGUUCAUCUAUGUCAACCUUGUUUGUUUUACUAGUUCAUCUGUAUCAUUCUUCUUCUUCGAAAUGAAAGCGUUUUACGGAAUACCGCAAUAAUUUUCGCUUGUUCUUCUGACCUCUUGCAUCUUGAUCUACAUAACUUAACCUAUCAAAGAUUUGGAAAGACGAUCUAAAUAAGAUCAAAACCGAGCACAUUGACGGUCUGGGCAUAUGUUGAUCGUACAACGCACCAGAAGACCACCUUGAGAAAAGAAAAAAAUGACUGAAUUUGGCAAAACGGAACGAUAUGUUCCAAAAUUUUCAUUCAGUUCAAAUCUCUCCCUCUAUUUACAUCUGGUAAAAAUAAUAUUUCCUCCUAUGUAUCAACGAAUUUAUGUAAAAAAUAAAUAAAUAAAUAAAUAAUCCUGUGCCUAAUUAAUGCUACAACAUAAAAAAUUGUUGAUGUGUUUGUUGAAGAAGAUGCAGAUCUUGAAGGUGACUUUGAUGGUGUUUGUAGAGAUCGUAAGGGGCCCAGAGAAGAUCGACAGGGCAAGGCAUUCCCAAAUCCAGCCGCGUCCAUGGCUUCCCUCCGCCGCUCCAAUGCAGCAAACUCACCGGACCCGGAUGCAGAGGCCUGCAACUGUUCAUCAAAUUAUCGCCGCCGAGGCCGUGCUGGUUCCACCGGUGGUGAAUCGCCUCCACGUCGCCGCCGAACACCAGCAAAAACGGCGGAAGAGAACCCAGCUCGUAAAUCCUCUUCUCCUUCUGAAUCUCCAUCCAGUUCUCGAUCUUUCUCGUAAACCCUCCGGCUCUCCAUCUCACCAAGUCGAUGACCAUCACGCCGGUGUUGAAAUAGCACGGGGUUUUUUUAUCGAACGCCUUGGGGAGCUCGGAAUCGCUCCAGAACUCGUCGGAGAAAUACUUGGUGAAAUUGGCGUGGCAGUACUCCGGAGCUCCGAUCACUCUCGACCCGGAUAAGGAAAUCCCCCAUAACUUCUGGAUGUCAUCGACAACAACGACAUCGGAGUCGAGAUAUAUCACUCGCUCAACGCAGGGGUCGAGCAAAUCAGCCAAGUAGCUCCUCGCGUAGUUCAAUGGGUUCUCCAGAGCUGGGCGAAUCGAAGGAGAGAUCAGAUGGUUCACCUGACUCUCUCUGAAGAUAUAAACUCGGAAAUUAAGCGCCGGAAAAGUUGACGUCAGAAUGCGAGAGAGGCGGUGAGAAUCAACCGAGCCGGAAUCCGAGGCGACGAAGUGGAAGAAUAUGUUCUCCGGGCAGGAGGCUUGCUUGAAAACAGAGUGCACGGCGGCAAUGGUGCCGCGCAAGUACUCGGAAUCGAUGGUCAUUGCGACGUGGACGAGGGAGGAAUCGCAGACGUCGUUUGCUGCACCCGGAAGAACAGGGCAGCUGAUUCCGUUUGUGUAUUUGGGAGCUUCUGAGAAAUCCAUGUGGAAUCGUUUUUCAUUUCCCGGUUGGGUUUGCGAGUCCGGGAACGAUCGGAUUGCGUUUGCGGGAAUGGGGACGGCGGAGAGGAGGAGGAGGAGGAGGAGGAGAGCAAUGGGUUUAAGGAGAAGCAUCGUCGGCGAUGGAGGAGGGGAAUGGAAAUGGAGAGGAGGAGGAGAGGAAGGAGUAUAUGUAAGUGAAAUGGUCAAAGAAAAAGCAGAGAGAGAGAGUAAACGUCUUUUUUGUGUUAACAGAAAAACGCGUCUGAAUAUUAUUUGGUUGCUUAAAUUGUAAUAAUUAGUUGGGACCAAAAUAUUAAAAUUGCACCAACAGUCCCCGUAGCUUAUUCGGGUUUUCAUUUUUGUUCCGAUAUAGUUUGUUUUUCUUUCGUGUUAAUCCCUGUAGGUUCGUUUCGAUAGUAUCGUUUCAAUCUGGCAAUGAGGCUGAAUUUUUUUUUUUAAGUUUUAUAAAUACAACUUCACUUGGGAAUCCUAUACCGAUUAUUAAUCAGACGCAAGCCUCAACUCGGGUGGAUUUGUUCUUUUGUUUCUCAGUUACAGGGUACUGAAAGUUGUUUUUCGGUUGUUUUCCUUGCAGGCUUUUACGAGUUAUGCUUAUGUAGGGAAGGAGUUAUGCUCAUAAAAAGCACUUUUAGUGUUUGUAUAAGCAAUCACAAACAUGUUUAAAGUAAAAAUCAAAACAAACUUAUUUGGAUGAAAGUGCAAAAAAAUAAAUUGUAGAGAAGAAAGUGAAAUUUCUGGAAAACUGAGAGGACAGUUAUACAAUAUAACACAUUUGGUUUGGUGCAGAGGAAUUUUCCAUUAGCUUUCGGGUUGUUUGAAUAUUAUUUUAGUAUUGGAUAAUAAAUAAAAAAUAUAUUAUUUUAAUAUGCUUUUCCACUGGAGGUUCUGUCCAGCGUAGGAAGCCAUGUGGCCAUGUGCUUUGAACAGCUUGGAAUAUCAUUAUUGCACUUAUUGUUAAUCAUUGGCAAGUGACCACAUGCCAUGAAUGAGAAUUGAGGUUUAAUACGGAUUUUUGUGUCAGAAGUCUAAAGAUUAAGAGAUUGUUUAGAGAGAGAAAGAGAUUCAAAUAGUUAAGUUUUUGAAUUUUUGCGAAGUGGGUCAGUGAGAUGAGCUAAUGGGGUUGUUGGAUUGAAGUUGACUAGUUCAGAUCUCUCGAUUUACGGACUCAAAAUACAGAAAUCCAGAAUGAAACUCAAUGCCAAGAAAGUACCUUAUUUUAACCAAAAAUGAUUAUAUUUAUUUUACUUGUGGUACCAAAUUUAAAAAAAAAAAAACCAUUUAUCUUGGACUAAAACACAAUUGCUGUUUUUACCUUUCAAGUUUCAAACAUAGUAUCCUUUUAAAACGAAAAAGUAACAGAAAAUCUCAAAAAGAUAUAAAAUACUUAGAGCUAACGGUGCUGGAAUAUCGCAAUUUUCAUCAAAAGGAAAAUUUGAUACAAAACCAAGCGCCUAAGCAUUUUAGAAUUCAUACAACCGAUCCUACUUAGUGAAAUAAGGUUUGAUUGUUAUUUUUUUAAGUUAUAAGUUGAUCGAUUAUCAUGGAUGACGAUGUUCCCCUUGUUACUAUAAUUUUUUCGAGAGCAAGUAGUCAAGUUUAUACAUACAUUCUACAAAGUAUCUAAGAUGGCCUAGAAGAUAAAUGUGACUUGGGUUUACUGGUCACACAAGUUAUCCGAGGUUUUCAAAAUCUUAAAGCGACAUGGGGACUAAAUUGUAGCAGGUUUUUGGAAGCCAACUAGUCAAUGGCCAUUCCCCUUGGGAGGCGCAGAUUUGACAACAAAUAGUUGACCACCUUUGAUUUUUUCAUCGCGUCAACAGUUAACGGAAAACAUAACGAAAAGACAAACGGAAAUAUGCUAAGUGACAGAAAAAUUAAACGUUUAAGUAUAAAAACGAGACGCAAGAAAAUAAGUAUAGAAAAGUACAAUUUUUGAAAAUUUUGAGAAUAAUAAAAUUGGAAUUUAAAAAAUAAAAGUUAACCAACAUGGCUUCCAAAUGUUAAGAGUUCACGUGGACAGAUGAGUCUUGUAGGAGAAGGCGGCAACCAACUGGCUGGCUGUCGUCACCACAAAGCCGUAGCUCCACAAUUCCAUCUGGCAGUUUCACAUUAGAUUUGAAGAAUUCAAGCGAAUUUAGACACCCAAAAAUCGGAAAUUCCAGAAUGUAACCGUUGGAUCCUUAUCUAACAAUUCAACGGCUAUAGAUUUCGAGGCAUGCUAUGAGUCGGUUCAUACUAGACAAACACGACAAUUUUAUCUCAUACAAGAGUGAAACUUCGAUGCGACAAUAACAGUAUCUCAAGACAAUCGUAUCUGGUACAUGACACUGCAUGAUUGGUUGAGAAUACUGCCAUUGAGGCAUCCCGAGAUGACAGGGACUGACCGCAAGAAGUGUCGUCUAAGAGAGAUCUCUCGGGAACAUUCCAUUGUGUUAUUGAUCCAGAACGCCAGUGACAUCCCCAUAGGUAAAAGAACGUGGAUAUACUUAAAUUUCUUAUUUGGAAAGUUUGUACCACCCCCAACUAUUCACAUAACUGCAUCAGUUUCCUACACCAACAUAUUCUAAACAUUAUACAGGAAUUGGACUCACCAAAGUUCCAAUUCCGAUACCAGGCCGCUUCCCGCCUCAAUCAGAACUCAAAUUUUCGUUAACGAUAUAUAAAGUUUGACGGACUUGACUCAGCGCAAACAGAGAGGCGAUAAACAAAAAGUUCACGAUAUAGAAACUCACUUUCUAGGAUUUUGUACUCACACUGCAAGAUCAAGCCACUCUAAAAGUUGUAGCUCCUCUGUUGAUGCUCAUUGCUCCGUUUCCAUGAUCGUACUGCUUCCUGCAGCCUGGACAGCGCCCGUCUGCCUCUAGAAUCCUUUUGUGGCAAAAGAGGCAAAGGCGAAAGCCGCAUGAACACGGAAUAAAGCUCGAGUCUGUGACAUCUAAAUCCUCAUAGCAUAUAGGACAUGAAGAAGGCUGGGGCACGAUGUUUUGCCAUGCCCAUGCAAUGGUUCCAUGGCCACAAUGCCAGUCUGAUUGCACCAUGAAACUAUGCUGUUUUGGCACAUUGGGCAGACUCUGAGGACGGGAAGCAUCAUCAGGUCUCCAAGCACAACGCGCCGUAUGUGACCCAGGAACCAUGUUUCUAUCCUCUGGAUUUGAUAAUUCAACUCCAGGAUUCUCGCUAGAUAGUUUAAACUGUGGGUUCAACUGUGAUUUCCGCUUUGGAAGGAAAAUCAGUAAGAGGGGUAUGCUUGUUGUCCUCUGCAUUUAAAGCAUCGGCCACAGCCUCCCAGUCAUCUAGACACCCAUCAUCAGCAUCCUCCUUGCUGACAGUUCCCGAACAAUUUCUUCCACUGCUCUCACUAAGAUUCUUCAUCGAAUCAUUACAAUCCAAACUGCUUCCACUCGGACUGGUUGUCAGAGACUCCAAAUCGCUGUCAUGGAUGCUCGAAUUGUCAUUCUCUCCUCCGGUUGAAUUCGUUUCCAAAUUGUCCAAUGAUCCAUUUUGCCCUUUCUCUACUUGCCUAGAUGGUGUAGGAGACCCACCCCUCCCAUCCAAGUUCACUUUGUGCCCUUUAUUCUUGACUGCAUUGCACACGAAGUUUAUUAGGAUCAAAUGUAUAUAAGAAAAUUUUGAUAACUACUAAAAAUCUCUAACUUGUUCCACAAAAGCCGUUAAUGUAAAACUUCGUUGUCUUUUGUGGGGGUGGGGAGAAGAAAAAUCAGGUCAUCAAUGUCAGGGAAAACGUCAGGUGCCACAUCAAAGUCAGUUGUGCAAGACGCACAUUAAAAAAAAAAAACAAUUCAAAAGCGAAGCCACUCGUCAGUCUUUCCUGAAUCGAUGAGAUCAAAACUUCUAGAAAAAGCUCGGCGUCUUGAUUUGGUUCAUAGAACUACCUAAGGCAUGAAAAAGACUUUUCCCUAUAUCCAUUGAUCAUGUCAUUGAUCGAGUAAUGACGACCGAUGGCAGCGAACUCUUGACAAAGAAACCAGCUUUACUUCAAAAUUGUGGGUAAGAACAUGUAUGACACCUUAGAUAAAGGUCCUUUUUAUUUUUCUAAAUUUUUAACGAACGUCAUUGUGCUCACCCGAUGCCUAAGUCUACAUUUCGCAAACACCAAGUUCUGCAUCCAAAUACAAACAUUGUCCGAUGCCCAAGUUUCGAUCUUCAUACCUCCACUAAGCAUAUUAGCUUCCAUUGUUUUAUUUGUUGGACAUACUAGCUUCAUUGGCAAUCCAAAAAAGUAAAAUUUUUUCUGUUCGUAUUGAAAAUUCAUAAUUCAAAAAAAAAAUUAAAAAAAAAAAUCGAGAGAGAAGGAAGCAAUACCAUGUGAAAGCCAUUGCUCGCGGCGAACAUCGAGCUUGCUCUGCUUCAAUUUCGCCAACCUGUUCGUCUGAGAAAAACAAUUACAAGUAAGAACAAGCUCACAAUUCACAACAUCACAAAAAUUCAACUUCAAUUCCGCCCAAAAACCAAAAUUGAAAUCGAAUUUCACGAAUGCACCAAUAACCCUCGGUCGAAAUUGAAACUUUUCAUAUUCAAAUUUCCCUCCAUUUCCAAGCUCACACCGACGCAUGCACGAAAGAGAAAAGACAGAGAGCGGAGGAGAAUGGAUGACAUAGCGAGCGAGCUUACCCUCUUCUUCUUGGCCAAGUCUUUGGUGACGACAGGAGAGCAGGAGAUUGAACCCGAACUCAUUGAAAUCGGAAUGAAAAUUCGAUUCACAAAAACCCUAGCUCUGAAAACCCCACAGGACUGAUUCGGAAAUGGAAGAGAAAAAUGAGAAGAUAGAAACUGGGAAAUAUAGAUAGAUAAAUAUAUAUAUAUAUAUAUAUAUAUAUAUAUAGAGAGAGAGAGAGAGAGAGAGAGAGAGAGAGGGGGGGGGGGGGUGGAUAGGGAGGGAGUGGAUAUUACGAAAUCUUUUGGCUCUCUGCGUUCCUUCCUCGCCUCUCUUCUCUCUUUCUUUUAUUAACUGAUUUUUUCUACCACUCCGACAGCCAUACACUUUUUCUGCCUGCCGGUUUUAUGUAUUUCUUCGAUUCCGAAACUACCCUCGAGAUCCACCUUUAUUUACUUGUGUACGCUUUUCAUUUCCAUUUUUAAAACAUUCGUUGAAAGAAAAAAGCAUUCAUAUCGAUAAGCUAAAAUGCAAGUGGCCCCUUACCGCAGUGGUGAAAAGGUGUUGAACCCUUGCAUUAUGGCGUGGGUUCAAACCCCGUUGAUGACUAAUCUAACAUCUAAUUUAACAAAUUUAUCGUUUGACCAAAAAAAAAAAAAAAGCUGAAAAUAGAAAAGGGAUAAAUGAAAAAUACAAUUUGGUUUUUAUUUUUUGUUUUAGGGAUAAAAGGAUUUCGAUUAAACUACAUAAUUAGAAAUCAAACUUGUCAUUUAACGAUUCAAACAUGAGACCUCUUUAUUUACGCAUAAAAAGAAACAUCAGCAUUGUCCAACGAAUUUAAUAUCUUAUUACGAUUUUGCCUCCUGGACUUUCAAUUGCGUCUUUUAAGAGCACAUCAAUUACGUCCAAAUUGGCUGCAAUGCAAUCACCGUCUGACGAUUAAGAUGAUGUUUGUUUAAAUAUCAACAAUACGAGAAAAUAACUAAUUGUUGAUAUUUAAACGAGCCAAGGGCAUUUCAGUAAUUAACGGGUGCAGGUUCUUGUUACUGCUGGCGGAGCUCAAGCCACAAGUGGCGCGAGCAAGUCAACAUGCAGAAAGUGGAUCCCUAAACGAGGAGUCCGUUGCACUUCCACGUACGAGAACCACGUGACGGCGCAUUAUCCAUUAUCUAUGGUUACCGGAUUCAACCCGCUCCGGCCCACUUUCCACCCGAAUUGGAUCUUAAGUUCGGAGCCCAAGGAUCAAAUCAUCUGAACCGUUGAUUGGUGUGUAAAAGAAAUCAGAGCUAUUGGUUUUGUGUGGUAGGCUAGAAAAAUGAGUUAAUAGAACCGUUUGAUUGAAUUUGUGCGGUCCAGAUGAAUUAAUUUCUAGGCUCCGGAUCCAAUUCCAUCUCACGCUAAUCCAGUUCUCUGGGCCCACCCCGUUGGAAGAGGAUCCUCUCCUAAGCUCAGAUUGGGGAUCCUCCUGACCAACCCAUCUAGGCCGUUCAAAGUUAAUUCAACGACUACAAACAGAAGGUCUUCUAAAAGUUAUAAUAAUUGCAACCGCUGGAUUAAAUUUGAACAGCCCAGAUGAACUGGUCAGGAGGAUCCCCAUCCUAAGCUCAGGAGAGGAUCCUCUUCCCGCCCCGUUCUAGCUUUGUUACCCAGAUUCAGCAUUUACUUCCUUUCUGGUCUUGAAUCUGAAUUUUUUUCAUCUGUUUUCCGCACAUAAAGAAAAUGAUUUCCGCACAUUACUUUUCUCCUUCUUCCACACCCCGUUUAUUUCCGUCCCGAUGUAACUGAGUCCGAAAACAAAAUGGGCGCCAUUGUAUAGUUUCGGUGAUAGCCAACUCAAAAAUCUUUCGGUAAGAACAGCAUAUAUAACACAGAUGCAUCGAAAAAGGUAAAGAAUCUGUUCUAUGAAACAUAAUCUUAUGGUGGAAAAGAAUACUGAUGCAGUAAUGCCUGCAAAAUGCUGGUACGAAACCACAAAUUUGUAGUUAAAAAGCUCGGGAUUUGUUAAAACUCGCGUGCUUUUUCUGCUAUUUGAUCAAUUUGUUACACUUACACAGUGUGCUUAUGGAAGUGGGGAAGAAAAUAUCCUAACUAUGACAAAGAUCAAGAACUAUAACUUAAAUACCUUUCUACGAAAUUAUCAUACACCAACCUUAUAUACACAACAAUGGCUCGGAGGCCAAUCUUCUGAACCAGACAUGCUCUACGUGUCCAGGCCCGCCAUCAUCCUUCACCAGUCUCAGAAAUCGAGUAGAUGACUCCUGUUCAAGAAAGCUUGGGUUUACAGUCGUUCGCAAAACUUGUAUGGCAGUGGAAGAUACGAAAAAAGGGUAUAUGUUUUCGAAAUGUUUAUCAUGUCUACCUUUAGCUUCCCAAUGUCAAACGAAUUUCCUUCUAAGCUAUGAUGAGAUUGAUAAGAAUUUGUGGAAUCGCUGUACUCUCGUCUGAUCAGAAUAUGGUGAUCUGGCCUCAGAUGUCCUUUUCCUUCUCACACGGAAGAAGUAAUCUUCUGUGUCAAGAACGUAAGAGAUCUGCCACAUGAUACUCUGAUGAAUAAAACUCCGUGCACAAAAAAUGCAUAAGUGUGUGUGCGCGUGCGCACGUGUGGCUAUUAUUUCUCCAGCUUCCAGCUGUGCUUAUAUUGUAAAGAAGGUAAAACUGAUGGUGAUGGUGAAGAUAAGAAAUACAUACGAGGGCAAGAUACCUUGGAUGAGUUGCAAGCUAUCUUGCACUCCAAACCAUUGACUAACUGAACACCGUCCAUGGCCUUGCAAAAGGAAGAGGAUUCAUCUUGCCCUGCAUAUUUGCGCUUGUUUCUGCAAAACGGAUUGAAUCAGUCAGUUAUCCAUUAACUAACAAAAACACUAGAAACUUUUGGCUCAUUCUAUAUACCGCAAGGCAACCUGAGUUGCUGUAUAUGACUAAUUAUUAACAUAUCAUAACACUGUGAGAGGAUUUACAUAUAAUUUUUCCUGCCAAAAAACACGGGAAGAAACUAAAUCCAUCGGAUGGCACCGUAUUUCAGUGUCUAUCGUGUUCCUUCAGAGAAGUAUAGCAAUUCUAGCACUUUUAACAUUAAUGAAGAGUGCAUUAUCACCUCUGAAGGGUAAUCCCAUGCGGCUCCUUUUUCCCAGGAUAAACCGGCAGAAAUUCAUUGUGCAGAUAGGAUGCAAAAUUAGGUUCCAUGGAAACUGCAAACACCUCAGGCUUUUCACUCACACUGUCCAUCAGCUGGAUGGACAGCCGGGAGGGUGAAGAGGACUGCACAAAGAAAAUUAAAAAUAAGUAAAUCACAAAAUAAGAAAAUAUAUUCAAAAGGGUAGGUUUUAGUCUAAUACACGGGCAAUUGUCAAAGAACUUACAAAUUCCAAUCUGUAAAUAUUCUCCUCAUGAAUGAGGACCCGUGCAUUUUCAUGAUAAACAGAAUCAAUUAACUUCCCAGUUUUCCGGGACUUUUCAUAUUCAUAUAAUUGAAGAAGCUUAUUGUCCGUCUCAUCACUUGCAACAGUUUGAAGCUGCAUAAAUAACCACUGAUCAGAACCUUGGCAGCAAAAGAAAACACACAGAAAUUUUUUUUAUUUUUUUAUUUUUUAUUUUUGAGUCAAAGUACAAAAUUUCUAGUGAGCAAACCUGUUUGACGAAUUUAUAUAUUAAUUUGUCCAAGGUGAAUAAUAUAUAAGACUGGUUUCCAAUAAUAGCUCGGCAUUCAUCCUCAAAUUUUGCAUUAUCAACAGAUCCAUCAAGCAAAUUGUAUAGAGCACUCAUAAAUCUGCAUAAUAGAUGAAUAAACUGUAUGAUUAAAAUUGCUUUGAACAGUUGCGACAGUUCUAAUCUAUUAUCUAUACAAAAGAGAGGCCUGAAAAAUACCUGGCAUACAGAUCCGGAGAACUGCCAUCCUUUGAAGUUCUCCAUUUCAUUUCUGCACCUGUGGAACUUGUUUUUGCAGACAAAAUCCUUUCGUAUAGAAUCUGCAAAUCAAAUAAGUCAAGCUUAUAUCCAGUUGUAAAUAAAAGACAAACUAACUUCCAAAAAUGAAAGAAAAUGUCUCUUACUUGAUGAAGCCUGCAAAGCACAUAGAAAUUAUCAUUCCCAUAGAAAACGCGAGAGUCUUUCCUUUCUUCAAGUAAAUAACCUGGUACAUGCUUCGCAAGAGGUUUCACAGACAAAAGAAAACGUUCUGACAAUUGCGAGGACGUUCCAUCUCCUCCAACAAGAUGCCCAUCCGCCAUCCCUUCUGCCUCACCUUCACUCUCAGCCUUACCAUCAAUGUCAUCCGGUUCAGCGUCUUCAUCAUCGCCUUGCUCUUCUCUGGAACAUUCAUCACCAGCUGUCUCACUGCCAGAGACAUCUUCACCAGCCUCGGAAACAUUUUCACUAUUUUCAUCAUCUGCAUCUGCAUCAUUUUCUCCAGCUUCCUGACAACUAAUGUCUUCCCCAUUCCCAGACUGAAACGGUCGGCUUUCAACACUGCGGUUUGCCUUAGGCAUAGCUUGCACCCCAGCAUCUCCAGAGACAACAAAGUUAUCCUCCCCAAAGUCAGCAAUUGGUGAUAAUUCCCCCUCUUCCUUUUCAAUUUUGGAGGGCCCAACAGACUCUUCAUGACGACUGCUAACUUUAGUGCUUUCUGGAAACACUCCAUUAGCAAUUAAAGCAGGUUUUGCAUUAUCGACACCCUGAAGCACCAAACAGUAAAUCAGUACGCAUUGCCAAAACCAUAAGGUCGUACCCAGUGCACAAGGCUCCCGCUUUACGCAGGGUCUGGGAGAGGUGAAUGUCGGCUAACCUUACCCCCAUUUAUGGAGAGGCUGCUCCCAAGUCUCGAACCCGAGACCUACCGCUUAUGGGCGAAGGCACUUGCCAUCGCACCAAGUGCCAAAACCAUAAGGUGAAAUAAAUAAAUUAAAAACCAAAGCCAUCACAAAUGACGAUAUUCCAGGAUCCAGACUCAUACCUCUGACAACGGAACAGCAUCAGCAUUUCCCUUCUGUAAAUGGUCAUUGUCACUAAUAGAAGCACCAGGCCUUGACGUGGUUGCAGCACACCCUUCAAUUGAAAAAAUUUCACAGUAUUCUAGCAUUAUUAUAACUCUAGAAAGUAAAAUAAAUUAUAACAUAUCGAAUAAGAUGCCAUUACAAUAAAAAAAAUCAAAUUCAUAAAAACAGACCUGAUAACACUUCCAAGCUCGUUCUACCAUGAUUAUUAUCUGCUCCAAUUGGAUGUGAUGGUUGACUGGACGGCCAAGCAUUGUCCAUGCCGGUGCCCAGAUACCUUUUCUUAGGGACAUCCAUAUUCUUCUGGUCUUUUUCUAGUUGAAUUUUCUCAGAUAUAGAAUCUUUCCUACAGACAAGAUCUGCAUCACGACUUCCAUCUUCUUUAGCCGAGUUAUCCCCGUUAGCCAAACUUUCCACUUCUGCUAAAGCAUUUUCUUCUUCAUUACACACAGAUUUGGGCUGCUUAAAAUUCACUGUGGCAGAAUCACCACCAGGACUUCCAUCGCUUUCUCCCAUGCUUGACGCAGUACAAUUCUUAGCCUGAUUCCUACUUUUGUCAACAUCUUCAUCAUCCUCUGAAUCAUUGGGCCGAGAAGAAACACCCAGCAUUGGCUCCAAAAAGGUAGUGUAAAGUCUCAUAGCCUUAUUUAAUUGUUCUUUUGUUGAGAAAACCUCUUCACAUGAAUAUUGGACAAGUUUAUACAAGUCUUCAUGUAAGCUGAUAUCUAAGUAUUCAAACUCCAUAUGUGGAACUAUAGAUUGCCUGUUUCCAGCAGCAACGGCCAGAAGGAUAUCAUCCUCUAUCUGCUUUUUCUCUUUCAAUUCCUUGAUCUCAGCCACCAAAGCUGUCAAUCAAUGGGAGUCAGAAUCAGCAUGGUGGAACAGUUAUUAAAAACCCACAGAGAGAGAAGUGCUCAAGGAAACUAAUCGUCAAAUUAAAAACUUACAUUUGCUACUCAAGUUCUUUGAAUCUUGUUGCUUGAAAUAGAAGCUCCGGUGAUCAAGUGAUUUGUAAUGGUUUUUGGCAUAUAUAUCAGCCCAGACCUUGUUAAAAUCGGAUCUACACCUUGUCCACUCUUCUUGUUUCUGCUUCAGGCGAGUUAAUACAACAGGCAAAGCCAGAGUUGGAUUUUUCCGCAGUAUGUCCACCACAUCAAGACCAUGGUCACCAUAUAAACGUUCAAUGCACCUUAAAUUUAACGCUGCAAUAAAACAAAUCAAAUGAAAAAGGUCAAUGCAGUUAAAGGAGCUCAAAUAGCAGAAUAGAUACCUGACAUUUAAUUGCUUCUCAAUCAGUUAAUAGAUACCAACCAGUGAAGUGGUCUUCAAUACGGAUUGAAGUUUCCAUGCUGAUCUUAUUUUCAUUAAUGCUGUUCAAGAGUUCCUCUGCUCGCUUAGCGGUUGAGCUCACCGACUCUAACAACAUAUCCAACUCAAACCUAAACUUUCCAAAAUGAAAGCCAACAUAAGUUUACAAUAAUGAACUAGCAUGUACUGUAAAGGAAAUGAUAUUACAUCAAUAGUGAUCUACAGAACCUACUAGGAUCUCUAUCCAUCCAUACGAUCUGCAAGCUCACUUGCAUACCAAAAGUAAAAAUGAUAUCAACAGCCUUGUACCAAACAUUACCUAUCAUCCUCGCAUCUGAACAGACUUUCUUCAUACUGAUUUCUGCGCAUAUGUUUAAAAGAGUAAUCUUCACUUCCUGAAGUCACAGAGACCCAAUGGUCAUUCAAAACCUGAGCACCAAGUUCUGAUCUCUGGCUUGCUGAAGGUAUUGGAUACUGCAAAGGGACAAGCAACAAUAAGUUGAGCAUCAGACUAUGUUACAUAGUCCUAUAUUAAGUACAGAAUGUUAACCCGUACGUCUUCAGGCAGAAGCCGAUAGCUUGGAGUACAACGUUCACAGUUAGAGAGAUCAAGCUCUUGAAUAGAUUUUGCCCAAUACUUCUCCCUGUAUCUUUCCUUUUCUUUAGCUCCCUCCGUUUCACGCUUUGGCUCUUUAUCUUUGUCCUCUACCUUCACCGGUCUAGAAAAAGGAACAGGACCAUCACUACUCAGAGAUUCUGCAGUCAACAAGUUACCAAUCAGGAUUCUCAAAUUACAGAAGCAAGCAAAAAUUCCAGAGAAAUGAGAAAUCACAUGAUAGCUCAAAUUAUGCCAUGCAGAAGAAUAAUUAUUCUUCCAAACGCAGAUUGUACAGAAACAGAUCACCUAGUAUCUUAUGAUAAAAAAGACCAAUGGAGGACUAAUAUACAUACUUCUACUCAUAACACCAGCAAGGAACCCAUCUGCAAGAAUAAAUCCCAUCAGAUACAAUCUAAAAGAAAAAGAACCACAAGAAAGCAGCUCAAAAUUGAUGGCAUUUAAGUUACCUAUAUUCUCACAACGCUCCAAAAAAUCAUUAAACUCCUCCAUAAGAUCUGAAUACUUUCCCAAUAAAUCAGUCACCUGAGAUGGGUAAAGUUUACUGGUAAAAGUCAAACUAGAGGCAAUAGCAUUUUUUAAGUUUAUUGAAUAGAAAGAUAAAUAUGUGGUUAUCAUGAAGUGUCCUUCGUCCAGUUUCCCCUAGCUCAAAGAGAGAGCACAAAAUGCUUGACUUUAGAAGUGUUGAUUAACUGCUGAACAUGGAGUAAUACGUACCAAACCUUGCAGAUCAUUCCUUUUAAUUAUUCCGUUGCUAUAAAUGUUAAGCAACUUCAAAAAUGCCUGGUAGUCAUCUUGACUACACAACCUCUCCUUCACCUUCUCACAGAAAACGAAUCCCUGGCUGUACAUGCCUAACAUAAAAAUGAGAGACCAUAAGCAACACUGAUGUAAUAACACGAGAACUGAAACUAUAGAACUUUAAAAAACAACAAUUAUGUUCCAAAGAAUGAUGAACGUAAGCAAAAUAAGCUGCAUCCAUUUCCCAAGGAUUUCAAAAUCAAGUACUGUGAUAAAAAAAAUUCAGGUUUUCCUAAUAUUGAACAGGGAAACAUUACAAGGCGCAUUGUGGGUUAAAAGAAUAUUCAAUUAACACAUCUCUAAUGGCAGACUUUCAGACCAACUACCAGAAAUCACAUCUCUUUCUCCAGGUAGAAUUUUACACUUACACUAAAACUAAACAAACGAUGUGCAUUUUUGUUAGUUCCAUAACCUAAAAUCGUAUCAAUGUUGACAAACCAACAAUUUAUUUCAUAAUUUUAUGGCAGUGAAGACUAACAUUUAAGAUGGCUAUCAUCAUGAGAAACACGCAUAUUGCCAUUUCAAAACAAAUUACAACUCCUUAUUCCAUCUGCAAACCAGAGAAUAAAACCACAAUACCUAGAUGCAACACAUUUAAGAAAGGACCAUGAAUGUAUAUAACUGAAACAGUUUCUUCAUAAACUCACUCUUUAAGGAGUCUUUGUCAUCAUAAGGAGCAAAGUUAGCAGUCAAACCAAAACCUUCAACCUUCCUGGUGGAUUUUCUUUUGUCAGGAAAACGCUGCAAUUUGUAGACACUGUUAUCAUUCUCUAAUUCUCUAUCAUCAUCGUCCCGAUUUCUUCUAUCCCUAUUCUCCUUUUCACUACGCUUUCUAUGCUCCUUCUGAACUUUCACCGUUCCUUUGUCAUCGUCUAGCUCAGGACAAUCAACACUAAGAUCACGAUCAGCAUGGGAUGUCAUGAUCCUAUCCCUCCUACGUUGCUGUGAAAAGAAGCCAGCCCCCCAUUACAAAUCACUAACUAAACAAGAAAACAUCAAAAACAUAAUAGAAAGAGAAUUUCGUAAUUACCUUCUCCAUAUGCAUUGGCCGAAAUGUGGGUGUAGCAGAGCUUCGCUCAUUGAAACGUGGAAAUGAAUUGCGGCCGUAUUGAGCUUGAUGUGCUGAAGCUGCUGCUGACGCAUCUGGUAAAAAUCUGGUGAACUCAUCAAGCAAAUCGGGAUGCUCAUCAAAAAGAGCAGCAACCUGUAAAUUGAUUUAAAUUACUAAGAACAUAGGGAGGAAUAUUUUCUCAGGUAAAUAGAAAUACCAUGUAACAGAAAACAAUUCAACAUCAAACGCCAAAAGUGAAAAUUGUGUACACUUACCUCACUGUAGACCUCAUUUAUAUCCUUGUGCUCCUUUCGAUACAUGUUCAGUAUGUCUAGGAAUGAUUUAUAGACAUGAUCAUCAUUUUGGAAACGUUUCUGUAGGGACAGAAAUCCAUCAAUCAAACAGAAAAUAAUAAAUGUUUAAACUUGCCAUUAGAAUAAAAUUAAACAUAUUCACCUUUAUCUUGUUUACAAAACUGAUAGCUUCCUCAAACUCAACUGUCUUUUUUGGUGGAGUCUCAUCUUCAUCGAGGGUUAUCUCAUAACCCUUCGGCAAGAAGGUAUUAAAGCCCAAAAUUAAGUUGUUAUGCCCUUUAAAUAAUUCCUUUACUCUUGCAAUGACACCUGCUGUGUCAGUUCUGAAAAAGACAAAAACAGGAAUCCAGUAGCUGAGGAAUCAACUAGGAAUGUAUUACGAGAGAAAAAAGGAAUGAUAAUGGGUACAUUGAUACCUUUGGGCCUUGAAAUCUUUCAUAACCUCAAGAAACGUAUCGUAUUUUUCUCUUUGGUCUAAAAACAUGUCCUUCACCUCUUUGAGAUAGGUUAGAGCGUCAUUGGUGGUCAAUUUCUGUGAAGCACCUCCUCCUCCUCCUCCAAUGGGCCCAGCUCCACCUACUCCAACGCCCCCUCCUCCACCUCCUCCCCCCGGUAUCUGGGAUUGCCUAUUGCCCCACAUCCAAAAAAUGAUCAUCAAACUCAACAUAUAACUAUAAAAAUAAAUACUGUCAAAUUCAUGAAACAUCAUAAACAAAAGAAUAAUUACUCAACACAUACAACUCCUUCCUACUUCCCCUGAUAGUUGUUUUCUAAAUCUAGUCAGCUACAACAGAAAAAAUAGAACAUACUUCCAGAAAACAGAGAUAAUCAUCAUUCUCAGGUACUAUUUCCGUCAACAUUCCGUCUACUGCAUUGAUCUAAGCCUCAAACAUAAAACUAUAUUAAUAUUCAUCAGAAGAUUUAAUCUUCCUAAAAGCAUAUCAUAUCUGCUGAAAACAACAUACCUAACAAAAUUUUCAGAAAGCUCUUGACUUUACCUCUAAAAACCGAAAUCAUAUCUGCUAAAAACAACAUACCUAACAAAAUUUUCAGAAAGCUCUCGACUUUACCUCUUAAACCCAAACUAGUACUCAGUUCAACUCUAACAAACAACAAACCCUAAACAAAUUGAACAAAUUAUGAUCAAGAACAAACAAUCCAAUCCACUGCAGGUUAAAAAGUACGCAAUUCAACAACACAACGAUCAAAUUACACCAAUAUUCACAAACAAGGGCAACAGAACCAAAAUCGCGCACCGAUACACUGACAUGAGUAAAAUUAAAAAUCCUCACAAACCAAACAAAACAUAAAGCAAAUCAUGCAAUUGAAGAGUGAUGAACAAAUCAUGGAACUUACGAGUCCCCGCGAGACGAACAGGGGGGCCGCUUCAAUUGAGGGCCGACGUACACAUCAUCUCUCACUCUCUUCAUCCCUGCCAAAAAAAAACCAAAAAUCGCAAAUCAGAAAAUUGGACCCCAAAAAAUUACAAAAAAAAAAAAAAAAAAAAAACAGCCAUUUGCCGAAAGCAAUCGUCGAAGACUUACUAUUCUGCAACAGAUCUUUGAUCGCGCACAGAGGAAGAGAGAGAAAGAGAGAAAAUUAGAACCCAAAAAAGGAGAGAGAAUGGCUUUUGAGAUAUCUGUGAUUGUCUCUUCUGCUUUCUGCUGCCUCUUGUGUUACGUUAGGCAGUGAAUUUUGUGAGAGACGAGAAGAGAAGGGAGAGACUUUAGGUUUUUAGUUUUGGAGGAGAAGAAAAAACGUGGAAAUGGCAAGUAAAUAAUCGGACACAAAGAGAGAGACGAGAGAGAGAAGAGAGAGAAGAGAGAAUUCGAAAAUGUGAAGAGGAACGGAAUGGGUUGUGUUUUUUGGGGUUUUGUAUUGAAAAAUAGCUCAUGUCUCUCUUUUCUCUUCCCAUCCGAGCCUCGGCCUCCACUUGCAAAAAUUAGAAAAAAAAAUUAGAAAAAAAAAACAAGAAGUGCUUUUUAAACUGGUGAGAACGUUUUUGGUAAAAAUAUUUUUGAAACUAAUUUAUGGUAAAUUGGCAAGUGAAUUCUAAAGUGUUAUGUAUAAAAACAAUUGAAGUGUUUUCGGUAAGAAUCACUUCAAGUGUUUCUUGCAUGUGCUUAUUGCAAUAAACACGUCGAGUGAUUUUAUAACUUAAACUCAUUUUCAGUCAUUUAAAAAUCUUUUUCAAACGAGUCAUAUAUUUCUUCUUAAAUAAAUGUGUAAUUCUAAUGAAAAUAUCAAUUUAAAUCAUAUGACGUGGUUGUUGAAUAUUAAAUUAGUAUUUAAAUGUUAAAUGUUGAUUAACGUGUCCAAUUAGUAACACGGUUUGCGCUAAAAGUUGAUUUACUCUAAAUAAAUUCACGGAUUUCGUUAAAAAAUUUUGGACCGAAUUAUGGGCCCGGGUUGGACAAUUUUAGCCCAUGAUUGUUAUGUCUUGAAAGUACAUGUAAAGUAUGUUCGGCCUACUUUUUCCCUUUUUUUUUCAGAGAAUGUUGCCCUUCUUUAGUACUCAAAUUUUUGAAAAAAAAAAAAGAGGUUAGAAUAAUGCCACGCUCUUGAAACUAUAGUCGAAUCUGAUAUUGCUCUAAAAGUUGUAUUGACCUAGCUUUCCCACAUGAAUAAUGUUUGAUGUGUCAUUUUGUUCCACACCAUUAAGUAACUUAAAAUAUUUCGUCAAGACCACGGAACAACUAUGUCCUCUUGACAAACUUAAUGAUUAGUAGUUUAAAGUAAGACAUCAAAACGUUGGUUAGUGGAGUAAAGUGGGUUAUUGUAACUGUCAUAUUACAACAUCGGAUUUUAUCGUAACUUAAAGAGUGGUUACUAUAAUUAUGGAUUUUAAAUUUGAUUUAACCAAGUCUCUGGUUUAAUUCAACAGAUUUACGUAUUGGCCUUUUGUAUAUAUGACUAGAAAUUGCUCUCAUUCUCUAGAAAUGUGAUCCUGUCUCCAACUUUAAGCUUUUGUUCAAUUUUUCCUUUGUUGAUUGUUUUGUUUGUUUUGUAGAGAGGCUGCCUCGUGUGACCGUUGGGAAUCUUAAACCUGCAACCGCACAAGUUAUUUGGAUCGAUUUUUCAGUAUGUCAAGUACAUAGUUUUGUAAAUUAAGUAUUAUAAUACAAGUGGUUAAAUACUUGAAAAAAAAAUUCAACCACUUAUACUCUAAUACUUGUUGUAUUGGACGUUAUUUCCGGUACAUUGAAACAUUUCUUAAUUUUUUUCAAGUGGAGUUAGGCUUCAAAACUGCCAAUCCACGCAAGUACACAAACUGGUGCCUUCCUCCUCGAAGUGGUAAUGUGGUGGUACAAUCAACUCCAUGCACAAAAGUAAAUAUAAAAUAUGCAAAAAGGCAGGGCCAGAAAAAUGUGACAAAGAAGAGAAAAGAAAAACAAUGGCAAAGAGAGGAAGAUUAAAAUAUAGUUUGAUAACUUAGAUUCAUUCCUAACAUCUUUUAAAGCGUAGGGUCUACGAGGAGUAACUAUAAAGAAAAGUAUUAAGCUGAUUUAGGUUAUGUCAUUUAGUGAUGAUAAUGUGUCGAUUUAUUUACUCAAGUUUAAAUUUCCUUCUAAUGAACUAGAGUUGUUUAUAAUAUAUGACAUCAAAAUAGAGACUUGGUUAAAUUGUUGAAGUACAUUACGAAGUAGGCACUACAAAAACUGUUGAAUUAAACACAAGUUUUUAACACAAGUUUUUGUAGUACAUAUUUAUGUACUUCAACAAAAGAAAUCAAAAUAGAUAUGUGACAUCAUUUAUUUUACAUAAUUUUUAACACAAGUUUUUGUAGUGCCUACUUCGUAAUGUACUUCAACAAUCUAAACCUUCUGUUUUUUAGAACAUCAUUCAUAGAUCCUCGUCGCAAAAAAUUAGACAAAUCCAAAGUCAUUAAGACAUUUAUUUAUAGUGAAGAAAAUAAACAAAUACGGUUCUACAAAGAAAAUUCUUAAUCCAAUGGCUAUAUGGUUUCAAAUUUGGGUAAUUUUUAAAGACAUGAUAUUUGAGAUAAUAUCUAAAAGAUAGAUGUUCAGAUGGUUAAAAGACGUUAUGAGCUCCACAAAAACAUGUGUCAAAAGUUGUUUAAAAAAACUGGUGUCACGAAUUCAUCCCCAAAUAAACUAAAUCGCUUACGAUCACCUAAAAAAAUGGAAUAUCUUUAAUUAAAAAUUUAGGGGAAGUGAUGUGUGUUUGAAUAUAGUGCAAAAGGUCGAUUUUAGAUUCAGUUGUUACAAAAGGCAAAUAAAAAGAAAAGAUGAAGACAUUUUCUUAGAUGAAUAUUAUUAGUUAUUCUUGUUUAUUUUAAGAGAAUAAAAUUUUAAAGUAAAUUGUAGCAAUGGUUCCUCAACUUUAACUUAAUUAGAGUAAUGGUCCUUCAACUAAAAAUCCAUUAGCAUUUAUCCUUCAACUCAUAAAAACGUGCAGUUAUAGUCUCUCAACAAAAAAUUCAUUACCAAUGAUCCCUCAACUUUAAUCAAACUGGAGAAAUGGACCCUCAAUUUUAACCCAAUUGGAGAAAUGGUUUCUCAACUUUAAUCAAAUUGUAGCAAUGGUCCUUCUAACAUAACUCGUUGUAACAAAUUUUUAAGGAUGUUGACGAAAACGACCAUAGCUACACGUUUUGAUGAGUUGAAUGGCCAAUGGUAAUGGAUUUUUAGUUGAGGCACCAUUGCUCCAAUUUGAUUAAAAUUGAGGGACCAUUGCUAUGAUUUACUCAAAAUUUUAAGAUAAAGGCUCAUCCAUAACUAGAAACUGGAAAAGGACUGUGGAUAAGCUUUUUUGUUCUCUUCUUCCCAGCUUUUUCCUCGAGCAUUCAACUUUGCUUGAAAAAAGAAACUAUUUGCUAUAAGCGAAGUGAAGUGAUUUGUUCUAUUAAAAUUAAUAGGUGCUAAUGGAUUUCACAGGUAAAUUCAAAAUGACACGUUAUUUAAUAGAUUCACCCGUUAACAAUCCGAUUUGUAAAACAUUCACCUAAAAUCAAAUGCUUUGGAAUAAUGAAUUGAGUUUAAAAUGCCAUGUUUAGUGGGUGGAAAGUAGGCCUGGCAAUUCCUGACACGACCCGAUAACCCGACACGACACGACACGAAAUUAACAGGUGUUCGGGUCAACACGAUAACGAAACGGGUCGUUAUCGGGUAACCCGAUAAGCACCUGUUAAGAUAACGGGUUUGUUCGGGUAUACACGUGGGUAACACGAUACACGAUAAGCAGAAUAUUAAUUUAAUAAUUUAUAACCCUAAAAAAAUACUAUAAUAAUUAUAUAUAUAUAUUAAUUUAACAAUUUUAUACCCCUAAAAACUAUAAUAAUUAUAUAUAUAUAUAUAUAUAUAUAUAUAUUAAAUUAACUAUAAUAAUUAUAAUAAUUAUAUAUACUAUAAUAAUUAUACCCAAAAUAUUAACUAUAAUAAUUAUAUAUAUAUAUAUAUAUAUAUAUUAAAUUUGAUACCCCUAAAAACUAUAAUAAUUAUACAUACAAAAUAAAUAGAUUUAAAUCUACUUAAUAAAUAAAUAUAUAUAUAUACACACACACACCAUUGAACUUCAUGGGAUAUGAAUUAUACGAAACUAAUUUCAACGAUCCAACCGUCAAACAUGUUUGUAUAUACUUCGAGAUCGCAUACGCCAAAAAUUGCAAAAAAAAAACAUUCAAAGAGCAAGUAACGGGACAAAACUUUUCGACGGUUAUAAACGAAAAAUCACGAUUUAACGGUCAUUUUAACUCCGAUUUUGAUGAUUUUUUACAACUACACUCCUUGACCCUAUAUGAAUACAAUGAUUGAAUUCGAUCUUCAAUUUAAAAUAUUUACACUAUCUUAUGUUAUACUUAAUAAAAGUAUAAAUAAACUCUUAAAUAUUAGUGAAUCUAUUGUUUUGAUGGGAUACUCAUUCUACAAAACUAGUUUCAAUGAUCCAACUGUCAAACAUGUUUGUAUAUACUUCGAGAUCGCAUACGCCAAAAAUUGCAAAAAACAAACAUUCAGAGAUCAAGUAAUGGGGCAAAAGUUUUCGACGGUUAUAAACAAAAAAUCACGAUUUAACGGUUAUUUUAACUCCGAUUUUGAUGAUUUUUUACAACUACACUCCUUGACCCUAUAUGAAUACAAGUAAUGAAUUCGAUCUUCAAUUUAAAAUAUUUACACUAGUGGAUACCACAAAAUCUUAUGUUAUACUUAAUAAAAGUAUGAAUAAACUAUUAAGUAUUAGUAAAUUUAUUGUUUUGAUGGGAUACUCAUUCUACGAAACUAGUUUCAAAGAUCCAACCGUCAAACAUGUUUGUAUAUACUUCGAGAUCGCAUACGUCAAAAAUUACAAAAAAAACACAUUCAGAGAUCAAUUAAUGGGACAAAACUUUUCGACGGUUAUAAAAAGAAAAAUCACGAUUUAACGAUCAUUUUAACUCUGAUUUUGAUGAUUUUUUGCAGCUACACUCCUUGAUCUUAUAUGAAUACAAUGAUUGAAUUCGAUCUUCAAUUUAAAAUAUUUACACUAGUGGAAACCACAAAAUCUUAUAUUAUACUUAAUAAAAGUAUGAAUAAACUAUUACGUAUUAGUGAAUCUAUUGUUUUGAUGGGAUACUCAUUCUACGAAACUAGUUUCAAAGAUCCAACCGUCAAACAUGUUUGUAUAUACUUCAAGAUCGUAUACGUCAAAAAUUACAAAAAACAAACAUUUAGAGAUCAAGUAACGGGACAAAACUUUUCGACGGUUAUAAACGAAAAAUCACGAUUUAACAGUCAUUUUAACUCCGAUUUUGAUGUUUUUUUACAACCACACUCCUUGACCCUAUAUGAAUACAAUGAUUGAAUUCGAUCUUCAAUUUAAAAUAUUUACACUAGUGGAUACCACAAAAUCUUAUAUUAUACUUAAUAAAAGUAUGAAUAAACUAUUAAGUAUUAGUGAAUCUAUUGUUUUGAUGGGAUACUCAUUCUACGAAACUAGUUUCAAUGAUCCAACCGUCAAACAUGUUUAUAUAUACUUCGAGAUUGCAUACGCCAAAAAUUGCAAAAAACAAACAUUCAGAGAUCAAGUAACGGGACAAAACUUUUCGACGGUUAUAAACGAAAAAUCACGAUUUAACGGUCAUUUUAACUCCGAUUUUGAUGAUUUUUUACAACUACACUCCUUGACCCUAUAUGAAUACAAUGAUUCAAUUCGAUCUUCAAUUUAAAAAUAUUACACUAGUGGAAACCACAAAAUCUUAUGUUAUACUUAAUAAAAGUAUGAAUAAACUCUUAAGUAUUAGUGAAUCUAUUGUUUUGAUGGGAUACUCAUUCUACGAAACUAGUUUCAAUGAUCUAACCGUCAAACAUGUUUGUAUAUAUUUCGAGAUCGCAUACGCCAAAAAUUGCAAAAAACAAACAUUCAGAGAGCACGUAACCGGACAAAACAUUUCGACGGUUAUAAACGAAAAAUCAUGAUUUUAACGGUUAAUUUAACUCCGAUUUUGAUGAUUUUUUACAACUACACUCCUUGACCUUAUAUGAAUACAAUGAUUGAAUUUGAUCUUCAAUUUAAAAUAUUUACACUAGUGGAUACCACAAGAUCUUAUGUUUAUACUUAAUAAAAGUAUGGUAUAGUACUAUUGUUUUAUUUGUUUUCAUAAUUAUUUUGGUAAACUUCUCAUAAUUUGAAUGAUUUUUAAUGUUUGGUUUUUCUAUGCUUAGUUUAUGCAGAAGAUAGUUAUGACGUGGAAAACCUUACUGAAAACAUCAUCAACAUAACUCUUGAAGGCAAUAGAUCAAGCCAAAGUUCAAAUGCAAUUUCAUGAUGAUCGAUGUAAAUCGAGGAUUUUGUAAAUUGAGGUUUAAACUUUUGAGAAAGAUUUCACAACCUUGAAAACAAAAACUGUUUCAUUUUGCAUAUCCUUGCACAUUUAAAAUUUGUAAUAGAUUAGUAGUGUAUGUAUUAUUUUUUUAUUAGGCUCUUAUUUUCGAGUGUAGAUGUAGUACUUAAACGACAAAUGUGUUUUAAUGUUUUGAAGUAAUAUUUAUGUGGCAAUGUGUGGUAUGUGCAAAUUUAAGAAAAAAAAUAUAUUUUUCUUAACGGGUCAUAACGGGUCGGGUCACUUUUACCCGUUGGGUAAAGUGACACGACCUGUUAAGGACCCGUUAAGAUAACGGGUAUGACACGACACGACCCGUUAAGAUAACAGGUGUUACACGAAAACGACACGAACACGACUGACACGACCCGUUUGCCAGGCCUAGUGGAAAGGCUCCCUACUAUCUUAUGGUGAUUCAAGUUUACCUAGUUCCAAUAAUAAAAAAUCAGAACAUCAACAAAAAAUAAAAAGUCAAAUUUUGAAAACUUCAAAAUUUAAUUUUAUCGUUUUUUAUUUUUAGUUUUCCUUGAACUGAAAACUCAAAAAUAGUUACCAAACAUGAUUUUUGUUUUGUUUUUUAUAAAAUAAAAAUGUAAAAACAAAAUCGAAAACGAAAUAGUUAUUAAACAACCUUAGAAAAACAUGAUGAAAACUUUGAAUGUCAAUCAAGCAUUUUUGGUUUUGUGUUUUUUACCACAUUCAACUAAAAGCAAAAAUUAGACAAUUGGGUAAACAAGAAAAUUAAGAUUUAAGAACACAAAUGUUCCCGCGCUCCAACUGCGAGGACAUCAUCUUCUUCAGUAAACGUUCGACCUGUGCACUUUAUUGCUCUAGUUCUUAAGACAUCCAAACUUCUAAUUGACCUCGAUCGAUUCUUAUUAAUUAUGAAAACAACCAAUGUACUUCUGUGUAUCUUCGGGAGCCACCAAUGGCAGUUCAAAAACGUCAUCACUUACUCUAGCAAGUGCAACUUCUCCCUGAAUGUGUACGACUUUUCUUAAAUGUCAAUAACAACUCCCGUUAUCUAAUCAUGUGGUUUAUCUGCUCGCAACAGGUUCUCGUUAUUCCAUCUUCCAGCUCCACCCAGGUUCGGUCCUCCUAGGGAUCCUUCUCUCCAUUCUCGUUGACCCGAAGUCUGCAAUAUGGGCACGUCGGGUUAUUGCUCCACCAGGUCCUAAAACAUUUAGCAUGGAAGCGGUGGGAGCAAUCCAGUGAAAUGUACCCAGCAUUCAGCCUCCCCAAGCAGAUACUGCACUCCCCGUUGUCCUCCUGAAAGUCAAAGAUCAACACAAGAUUAUGAUUAAAAUAAGAACAAUAAUUUUAUACUUAUUGCAAGGAGGAAAUCAUGAUAAUAAUCUCAAAAGUUCAAAACUUCUCAUAGAGAAGACUUUAUUUUUCCUGAAUUGAUAAUUUUGAAAUCUAGAGUUUUGAUUUUGGAUUUCACAUUUUCACGAGUAAUGAUUUUUCGCCAGAAUGCUUAUGUUGUCGGAAUCCGAAUUGAAACAAAAAUUAUCUUGAUCAAUGAAAAAUUACCAACUGGAAUUCGGCCAGGUGAUUUAACAAGUCCAUGUGUUACGGAUUGAUAUUUGGGACUUUUAGGGUUAGUAUCUAUAAGUAUCCACUCAUAACACGGGGACCAACUCAUGUAGCUGUUUUUUAGUACCACACAACAGUUACUCAUGAGCAACGAUCCAUAUCCACAACUUUGACAACAUAAGCAUCUUAUGUUGCUAGAUAUUCCGAUGGAAUACACUUCACAUACUUGACAAAUAGUAAUCAUUUUGGCAAAAUUCAAAAACUAAAACAGAAGUUUAAAUCAACAAUUCAAAUCAAAUAUCAUACCACCAAAAACAAUAUAUUCAUGUAAUAUAAACACCAAUUAACGAUCAUAUAUGUUGUAAUGACAUUCAACAACUCUAUAUAUUUAACUGUCAAUGAACAAUCGUACUAUGUCAUUCAAUGUACCACGGAAUCCUAACAAAUUAAGACACAUGCUUUGAUUUAAAAAAUAUAUUUGUACUCACUCACGUUUGUCAAGUUUAUAGAGCCAGCAGCUUCUUCAUCUUCAUCAACUGUCUGUUUCAGCGAAGUUGCAUCUUCGUCGUCAUCCGGGGUUAUCUGAUAACCCUCCGGUAAGAAGGGAUUAAAUCCCAAAAUUAAAUCCUUAUGCCCUUUGAAUAAUUCCUUCACUCGUGCAACCACAUCUUCUGUGACAGCCCUGAGUUCAGGAGAACGAGAACAAGAAAAUUAAUCCAACUGCGGAUAUAACACCAACAACAACCCAUCCAUCAUAAUUAACAGAAAGAAAAAAAAUUAGUUUUAAUUUGAGAUUGGAAAUUGGAAAUCUGAACUUACCUUUUAGCCUUGAAAUCUUUCAUGAUCUCGAGAAAUUUCUCAUAAUUUUCUUCUUUGUCACAAAACGCAUCCUUCACUUGUUUGAGAAACAAAAGAGCAUCGGCGGUUGUCAAUUUCUGAGAAUCACCGCCUCCUCCACCGCUGGGUAAUCGGGAUCGCCCAUUGCUGUGCUCCAAAUCCAGAAAGGAACAAAAGAAAUUCGUAAAUUUGAUAAUAUAAUUAUCUAAGAUAAAAAAUUUAUAUAAUCCAAAAAAAAAGUUGGAAGAACGACAGAUAUACAUGACAAAAUUCAUAAAGCUCUGAAAUUCACCUUUCAAAACCAUUAGCCAUCCGUCAAACAGAAAUUUUAAGGACUUUCUCGAGAAAAUAAGCAGAAUAUGUGAACUAGAUCUCGGGGAAGAGCGGGAAAGUGGUUAGGGUUUUGAUCGCUGACAGUGACAAAUGGGGACACUGAUGUUUUAGGGUUUUGUGUUAAAAACAAAUUCUUGGUGGUUUUGUGGAUAUGACCGCUUGUAUUUUCGAUUUUUAGGAUAAAUUUUUAACCAAACUUUCAAACAAAAUGACUUAGUUGUUGAUAAUUGAAUUAUUAUUUAAGUAUUAAUUAACGUGCUUAUUUUUUAUUUGUGACACAUCAUUUAGUUUGUGAAUUUAGUUUAAAAUUUUGGUCUCGCUAGCAUUAACCUUUUUUUUUAAUUUGGACCACGAUGGGCCAAUUUGGAUAAUAUCAGCGACUUUAUAAUUCUCCUAAAAUAGCCAAAUAAAUUAGUUAAUUUUUAUAGAAUAUUUUUUUUAGCUUAAAUUUUUAUAGAUGGCGAGUUCGGUAUAUUUUUCUUUUUUGCUAGGGAAAAAACGAGUACCACUGGAGUACAAUAAAAAAGGAAAGCAUUCCAAGUCUUGGAAGGCACUGAGUGAUCCCACGUAUGAGUGUCUUGAAUAGGAAGAUCAAAUCUAGUAAAUUGUCUGCCAUGAAAUUUGCUUCUCUAAAGACAUCAAUGGCUAAUCCAAGAAAUAAAAUGCGGGGUUAAUAAGAAUAGCACUUGUAGUGCGCAAAAUUUAUGGACAAUUGAGCAUGCAAAUUGGCAUUUGGUCCAACAUUGGUGGGCCUGAAGUGAUUUGCCAAGUUAUAUUCCACACUUGUCAAUAUAUGCCAACAGCUUCUAAGUGACCAUGUCGACUGAUAUCAAUAACUUUUGAUCGAGCAUGCCACCAGAUACCAACGUAUCCUAAGUGACCAUAUCGACAAAUGCCCAAUGCCCAUACAGACAAUCGUCGAACAGUUAAAAGGCAACUUUCAAGGGCAUCUCAGAUUUUCAAAGGGAUACACCCAACACACAAAUAUAUGUUUCUAAGUGAUAAUAUGGAAGAGUUCGAUACAAUGUAUUCCUUCGAUAAGAAUGUAAAUAUACUGUUCUAUUAUUCUUGUGACCGCAAAAAGCUUCUUCCUCGGUUAUUUAUUUAUUUAUUUAUUUUUUACAAAUUUUGUCAGCAUUCUGAAAUAACCAUAAAUCCAUUCCUCACUGACAACUCUUUUUUAUUUUUAUUGGUACAAGAGACAACAUGUAUGAAAUACUUGCUAAACAUUUGAUUCCGUAAACUUAACUAAACAAAAAAAACAUGGGUAAAUUACAUAGUAGUCCCUCAGGUUUGAGGUUUAUUACAACCACAUAUAACAACUUUAAAACAUUUCACUUUCAUACAUCCAGUACCAUUUUAUUUCAAAAUAACACAUCCGUUAGAUUUUUCAUCCAUUAGUAUGUUAAAUGAUGACGUGGCUGCCACAUUUGUGCUGAUGUGGCUGCCACGUGGCAUUUUUUUGUUUUUUAAACCUAAAUCUUCUAAAUAUUAAAAUUAAAAAUCAAAAUAAAAAACUGAAACCUUCCCUCAUCCUCCUCUCUUCUCCCCGCAACCCCCAAACCCAUAUCCCCCAUCUUCAUCUUUUUCCCUGCAACCCAGAAAGAAAAGAAAGAAGAAAAAAAAAAAAGCCCCCUUCGAUUUGUCUUCCCCCCCCCCCAUCUUCCCCCAUCUUCUCCCCCAUCUUCAUCUUCUUCCCCCAACCCCCUACCUGCAACCCAAAAAAAAAUAAAAAAAACCAUAUCCCGUCUCACCAUCAUCGGGUUCGUGGAAUGGGGGGUGUGUAGAGAAGGAAAGAGGGUGGGUGCGGAUGGAGGGAGGGUCACCGGUGGGGGGGGGUGUUAUGGGUUUCUGGUUUUAGGGUGGGGGACGUGGGUGGGGUGGGGGGUUAUCAUUUUUGGGUUGCAGGGAUGAACUUGAAGAUGGGGGGUAUGGGUUUGAGGGUUGCGGGGAGAAGAGAGGAUUUUAGGAGUUGCAUUAGGGUGUUGGGGGGGGGGGGGAGAGGAAGGAAGGGAUCUGGGUUUCGGGAUUUUCUAGUUUUUUUUAAUUUUAUUAUUUAGAAGAUUUAGGUUUUUUUUUAAAAUAAAAUAAAAUAAUUUUUGUUUCCACGUGGCAGCCACAUCAGCACAAAUGUGGUAACCACGUCAGCAUUUAACAGACUAAUGGAUGAAAAAUCUAACAGAUAUGUUAUUUUGAAUUAAAAUGGUACUGGAUGUAUGAAAGUUAAAUGUUUUAAAGUUGUUGUAUGGGAUUGUAAUAGACCUCAAACCUGAGGAGCUACUAUGUAAUUUACCCAAAAAGCAUCAUGAAAAGUUUGAACCCAUUAAUUACUACCACAUACAAAGUUUGAAGCGAAGCAUGUAGUAAAUGUUGAUUGAUAUUGCUACACAUAUUACUUGUAUAGAUGCAAAUAACUAUCAAACUCUACCCAACUUUUGAGGGUUUAGAAUUGAGCAAAAUGUUUGAUAAUAUUAUUAGAAAACUUCAUUUUAAUCCUUAAAAAAGAUGAGUUUUAGAUUAUAACCAUAUGUAAGAUUAAAAUCCAAUUUUAGUCCCUAGCACAUUUAAUCAUAUCAUUUAUUAGUUGUAUUUUGAUGUUUUAUUUUAUCCUUUUAUUUUUAUUUUAAUGUAUUAAUUACAUUUAAAUUUAAUUUUUAUUUCAUUCAUCAUAAUAUAUUUUAAUGUCUACAUUUAGGCAACUAAUUUUUUUAUAAUAUAUAUUCCGAUAACAAUUUUGUAUGUUCUUUAUUUAGGUACAUUAAUACAUUUGAAUAUUUUGGUAUAUCCAUCGGUACAAACAUGUAGUUACAUUGAUUCAAUAUAAUGCAUUUCGGUCAAUAUAAUGUAUUUCGUUACGUACACUUUGGUACACACAUUUGAGUAUCGACUUUUAGGUACAUUAAUUCAAUUAUUAUAUUUCGGUAAAUACAUUUAGGUACAUACAUUUUGGUAUUGAUAUUUAGGUACAUACAUUUUCGAUAUUGACAUUUAGGUACAUACAUUUCGAUAUUGACAUUUAGGUACAUUAAUUCAAUAUAAUACAUUUUGGUACAUACAUUUAGGUUCAUUAUAAUAUAUUUCGGUACAAUCAUGUAGGUACAAAUAUUUCAGUACAAAAAAGUCAAUUUUAUAUAUUUUGGCACAAUCAUUUCUGAACACUUAUGUAUUUAUAUAUUUUUGUAUCACAAUUUUUUUUUAAUAUUUUCUCAUUACAUUCAUUUCUAAUUAAAAAAAAAACUAAAUAUGUGCAUAUUAAUAAAAUUAAAAUUUAAUAUGGAGAGAUUAAAUAAAAAUACACAUUAAAUAACAAAAAUUGAAUGUAAAUUUUGAUAAAAGUACACUCAAGGGAUUAAAUUGAAUAUUUAAUCUAGCACCAGGUUUUUUUUUAAAUUUUAAUCUUUUGCAAGGAUUAAUGUUCAAAAACCCCUAAUAUUAUUUCCCUCGUUGAUAAAUGAGAAAAUUGGGAAAGUGUGAGAUAAUAAUUAGCAAAGGGAAUUGUUAUUAGCACUCUAAAAAUUUCAUUAUACACUCCAAACUUUCUAUAUUAAGAAAGAAAAAUACACUUGUGAGGAGUGUAAAAUGAGAUUUUUGAAGUGUCAAUAACACCUUCCUUUUUUUUUUGGAAAUCAGAAUAAUCAUAUCCGGGCAAAGAUGCCAAAAGGAACAAGAAAGCCAACCAAAGUGGCUAACAAACAAACAUCACAACAACAGAAAAGAGAACAAGAAGGUACAAGGGAACCGUGAUGCCGCACCAAAUGCUAAAGUGUCCCUUCUCAAACUAACAAAAAGCAACUACGGAGGGCAAGGAAGACCAUCAUUGCAUAAUACAUGGACCAGGGAAGAUGGGGGUCUAUUGACCCAAGUUUGAUCACAUACUUCCUUACAAUUGCGCGACGCCAAACAGUCCACGACCAAGUUGGCCAGUCUUAGAACCCAAGACCAGCGGCAAGCUUGAAAAGCCCUUCCCAAUCUUAAGCACUUCCUGAGAAUUGGAAAAGCAUCCCAAUUGCCCUUCUUUGCCGGAUCCCUCAGGCAAGAGAUUGAAUCGAAAGAGUCCGAUUCAACACAUAUCGAAUUCCAUCCAAUUCUUGCCCCCAGAUUACACCCAUGCAUAAUGGCCAAAGCUUCCGCCAUAGUAGCACCCGUAGCCUUAAUCAAAACAAUAAGUCGUGCAAAGUAGUGGUAGAGGUUUGUCAUUGAGAAAUGGCUCGUUGUACUGUAUGCCCUGCAUAUGUAGAGCAAAGCACCCUUUGGACUGGAGUAGGAUUCUCUCCCUUCCAAAAUUAAUGAGAAAAUUGUACUCCUUUGGACCAGUGAGGAGUUGACAACAGGUGCUCCCGGUAUCACGAAAAGGUCAUCAGAAUGAAAUGACUGAAAAGUCAAAAGGGUCAACUUCCUCCCCAAAUCAAAGUUAACACAAUUACACCCCCAAUAUAGGACGGCAUCAUUGCUACCUGUAAUUGUUGCAUUCAAUCUCCAUUUCAAUACACAAUUAGGCAAGACACAAACUCAUCCAAAAAAUAAAUGAGAUUUCACAAUAGUACGUAAGAAUUAAGCUUGCUGAUUGAGUUAGGGUGCACUCAAUUGCGUGUAUAGAUGAUUCUUGACCGUUGAUCACUAUGAGACCCAAUUUGAACAAUAGUUAAAAGGGCGAUUGAUCGUAUUAUUUUCCUUGUCAAUUUCAACUAAACUCUAGCAAAAUUCUAAAAUUAUUUUCCUUCAACCUAACUAGUAUGCAUCAUUGUGGCGUUCGUUGAUCCAAGUCAUUUACAACUUCCCCCCUAUUGAUUAUUUAUGGUAGAAUGGCUUUACAUUUUUGCUAAACUUAUAUCUCUGGCGUAUGAUUAGCUUAUUUAGUACUGUAGUUUAUUUUUGUUUUGACAAAAAAAAAAAAAAAAGAACUGUCCGUUUGCAAUUAAGGGUUAUAAACAUUUUUAAGUGUUUUUCUAUUAAUUUUUAUUACUAUCAGGGCCCAAGAUCCUCUCCUGAGCUCAGGGUGAGGAUAUUCCUGAGCAAGCUCAUUGGGCCGUUCAAAUUUUAUCCAACGGCAGGGAGCCUCUCUAAAAGUUAUAAUAAUUGUAACCGUUAGAUAAAAUUUGAACGGCCUGAUGGGCUUACUCAGGAGGAUCCUCACCUUAGCUCAGGAGAGGAUCCUGAUCCUAAUGUCAGAAGCCUCAAAAGGAAUCUCCUAUGUCAAUUGGUUGUUUUUCUUGGCAGUUGGAUUUAUCGUCAUUUGGUUGACAAAGACAUUCUGUUUCUUUUAGUCUCAUAUGCCAACUUGAGUAUAAAACAGUGGUUAAAGGCUACCUAGACUAAGUUCUAGGUCGGAUUAUUCAUGUUAGUCGUCCGCCCAACCACCAGCGCAAGCUUCUUAUAUUAAAAAAAAAAGAAUUAUUAUUAGCACUUCAAAAAUCUCAUUUGACACUCUAAAUUUUUUAUAAUUAUAAAAAAAUUACACUUGUUAGGAGUGUAAAAUAAGAUUUUUAGAGUGCUAAUAACAGUUCCCUAAAAAAAUAGGAUAACAAAAAUCAUAAGAGAAGCAAGAUCCACUUGCCCGGUUCACCAGUUACUACCACUACGAGGCCUAAUCAUACAAAAGAAGAGUUUGGUCAUGACUCAAAAUGAAUGCUAGCUAUAUGCUCAAUACAUGCAAGUCAGAACAUUAUUUUCAGGGAGUUGGGCUGAAGUAAAAGAAGCCACGGGAAAGUGGAUUAGGAGCCUUGAAAAUUUACUGAGACUUUUAAUACAUGCUAUACAUUCGAAAAAAAAAAAUCUAAACAUGGAACCUAAAAUACAUGCUAGACAUUUUUUUAGGGUAGUGUUAUUCACACAUCAUUUUUUACUUCUCACAUGCCUGUCUCAAUUUCUGACCGUUAGAUCGAAUUAAUUGAAAAAGAUGAAUGACAAAACGUUAAUAAGGGUGUAUAGGAGGUAAAAAUGGAUGUGUGAAUAGCACUAUCCUUCUUUUAAUUUAACAACUUACGAGACUUUUCAUGUUUUGUUUUAGUGAAAAAACUUUAAAACAUUGGUUCCUUUUAAGGAACAAAAAUGAUAUUCAUAUCAUCUAUUUGUACCAUCUCUCUAACAGAGAUGUGACCCACAUGUCCUGGUGGGCUUUACCUCUAUUGAAAAGAUGGUACAAAUGCAUGGUAAGUAUAUCACUACUUUUUACGGAAAAACCUAAUUAGUAGAGAGACAACAUAUAUGUACAUUAGAGUUUAAAAGAGAGAAUAUUUAUACAGUUCCUUGGCAUCCUUUCUAGUUUUCUAGUCCAUACUUCUUACCCAAUGCCAACACCAUUAUUUCGAAGAGACUUGAAGCUUUGGCAAGUUUACUCUUCCUGCUUAGGACUAUUUAAACCUUCAUCAUCAACCACCAUUUUGGUGGGGCAAAAAUAAGAACAAAAAGAAGGGAGGAGUCAAUUAUAAUUUCAAUACAAUUCAGUGCCCUUUUCUGCGGGUGGGGUCCUUUGGAGGCUGACCAAUGAGAAAUAAGCACCUGCAGGCCCUUUGGCCAAAAGCGACGAGUGGGUCCCUUUCUCCACGACCUUUCCUUUAUCCAGCACAGUAAUCAUAUCACAAUUCUGUAUUGUACUCAACCUGUGGGCCACCACCACGCUGGUCCUCCCCACCAUCACACGCUCCAGCGCGUCCUGCACAACCUUUUCAGACCGACUGUCGAGCGCGCUGGUCGCCUCGUCCAGCAACAAAAUGACGGGGUUUCGAAGUAUCGCCCUGGCUAUAGCAAUCCGUUGCUUUUGUCCGCCGGAUAGCUGCACUCCCCUGUCCCCGCACGACGUGUCAUAUCCGUCUUUCAAUCCCGCAAUGAAAUCGUGCGCGUUGGCCGCCCUCGCGGCUUCCACUAUCUCCAACUCAUCGACCUUGUCCGAUACGCCGUACACAAUGUUUUCUCGUAUGGUCCCGGCAAAUAACGUUGGCUCUUGACUGACCAAUGCUAUGUGUUUUCUCAAUGAUUUGAGGUGGUACGACUUCACAUCUUGACCGUCGAUUUUGACCGCUCCCUUGAUCGGAUCGUAAAACCGUUCUAUCAAUCCGAUGAUCGUUGAUUUACCUGAACCACUUUGGCCCACCAAUGCCGUUGAUUUUCCCGCCUCGAUUUUGAUUGAGAAGCCGUUGAAGAUCAUAACAUCGGGCCUAGCGGGGUACGCGAAAUGCACGUUGCGUAGCUCAAUGCUGCCCGUAAUUCUUUUGGGGUCGAGACCUUCGGGGUCUUCAGGCUCGAUUUUUGUGUACUUGUCUAACACGGCAAAAACAGACCCAACGGCGUCUGCUCCCUUGGCGAGGUCUGUGGUCAUGCUACCAGCAUCGGCAAUGACCCGGCCCGUGCUGACCAAGAUCAUGAAGGUCUGGAAAAGUUGUUUUGCAUUGACGUAGCCCUUGGCGACAAGCUUGCCUCCGUACCAAAAGUCGAAGGCCCAAGUGACGGUCGUGAGGCUUUGGGAACAAGCGAGUCCAAUGCCGGCAUACCAUGACUGUCGGAUACUCUCCCGACGCGGGCCUUCUUGGGCCUUUUCGAGCAUUUUCAAGAGGCGGUUUUGGGAUGAGAAGGCGGUGACUGUCCGGAGGUUGGAGACUGCUUCCGCGGCGAGCUUGCUGCUUUCUUCCUGGGAUUUUAUGGCCUUCUGGGACAUAUUUUUGAGCAGGACACGCCUUGUGUAGAAGCAUACAAUGAUGAGGGGUUGUACGGCUAUCAUGACAAGUGCAAGUCUCCAUGUAAUGAUCAGUCCCAUUGUGCAAGCUACUGUUACUGCUGACAUGGUUUGUACAACAAGAGCCAUUCGAUCACCCACCAAAGAUCUCACCUGCAACAAAAUAAUGUUCAUCUUAAAUCUUAAAAAAUUCGUACUUUUAUAUAGCUAAGAAGAUCAGUCCAACUAGCUCUACAAUGUUAUUUUUCUUUUCAACUUCAAAUUAAGUUCGAAGUUCGAAUCACAUUUAUCUUAAGAAAGUUCUAACAAAAACAUAAAAUAUGCGACUCCAUACAUAAUUCUAAUGAGUAUAACUACAUACACACUCUUAAACUAGUGAAUCAUUUAAAAAAAAAAUGCGUCAAUAAUGUGAUCAGUUUGUUUGUCUGAACAACAUUAUCGAUCAUAGUAGAUUAUUAGUGAACGAAUUUGAGGACUAUAGGCAUCAUCAAAUUCUGAUUAUACGUACCACAUUGGCAUCUUUGGCGAGUCUAGAGCAAAUGGCACCACUAGAAUUCUCAUCCUGAUCAAACCAUCCCACUUCAAAAGUGAGUACCUUUGAAAGCAUCCUCUCUCUAAUCCUCUUAGUCAAGUACUCUCCCAUGUAAGCAAAGUUGUAAUGCUGGCUGACAUUGAUCAGCAACGAGAAGAUUGCCAACCCUAGAAAGCAAAGAGAAUAAGUCCUUGUCUUCGCCUUAAUCUCGUCGUGGUCCUUCAAGAAAUAAACCGAUAUCAUGGACCCCAUCGCAAACGCGUACAACGGCUGUACCGCCCCAAAAAGAGUCGCACUCGUGCACCCCAUAACUGCUUGUUUCCACUCGGGAAGGUUCAAGGCCAAAAGUCUCCUAAACGAAGGCACGGGCAGUUUCUUCUGUUCAUACUCUACAACACUCUCUUGAUCCGGAGCUCUACCCUGAGCAAACGAGUUUGCGGAACUCGAACGACUCACCAUGGAGAGCCUACGGCUGCUUGUGCUGUGAAUAUCGUUUGAAAUGGAAGACGAAACACCAUAAUGCCCUAACUCUUCUGGUUCCUUUUCUUUCUCCGUUCGUUGGAGGCGGACAAGGGACGUGUAGUGGCCGUUUUCACGUUGGGAGAGCUCAUCGUGGGAGCCAAUUUCCAUGACCUGGCCGUUUUGAACUACGGCAAUCACGUCCGCAUUUCGGAUGGUGGAGAGGCGGUGCGCGAUGAUUAUUGUGGUGCGGCCGACGGCUGCUUUGUCUAGGGCUUCUUGGACUACUCGUUCGGAUUCGGAGUCCAGUGCGCUGGUGGCUUCAUCUAGGAGGAGGAUACGAGGUUUCUUGAUGAUGGCUCGUGCAAUGGCGAUCCUUUGUUUCUGUCCUCCCGACAUUUGAACACCUCGCUCGCCAACCUGUUUAAUCAAAACGUUAAUUUGUUUUAGUACUUGAAAAAUGUAGUUUUGUUGUGCCUGCAUGUUUCAUGAACUGUAAUAAAAAUGAAAUGAAAAUUACUAGAAAGACUUACUCAUAAAUGAUUGUACAAGACUAAGAAUAUCAAUUAAUAUAUUUAUAAGAGAAACAAAAAUCAGGUUCGCCACUUUAGCAAUAUUUAUACGAAUAAUGCAGUGACGUGCUGUAAAGUUAUCGAAUUUAAAUGUCAUGGCGUACUCAUUGUAAGUACGUCUUUUUAUUUAAAGGGUUGGUCUUAGUGUAGUGAUUGUUGGAAGGAACUUCUAAACUUGAAACUUCUCCAAACAUGAACGAAAGGAUUUUUAAUCAAAUGCUAGUUGGUGUGUUAGAGGUAUCUUAUAAUGCAGUUUCGACUGAUGAUUAUAAAAUGCAAGGCAAGCAUCAUUGUCAAAGAAGCAAUAAAGAUGUUGUUUACUGAUUAAGUUUACCUAAAUUAAGUUGUGCAAGACUAGCAGAUGACACUUAAUUGCAGUAGCGAAAAGUAAUAAAGCCUACAUACCCUAGUGCGAUUCGUCCUCCACUGAUCACCCUCCUCCUACCAUUUAACAAUUUAACUACUAACGUUAUCGUUUGAGAGUAACAAAAUGGUAGAAUACUAGUUUAGAGCUUUUUUUAUUGGGGUUUUGGGGGGAAGGUUUUUUUACAUGCUAGAGAGGCAAUCAAAUUCGUAUUAAAUUUAGCAAUUAUAUUGAUUCCUGAUUAAAUUAAAACCUUACUUAAGGGCAGGAUAUAACGUAAUAAAGUACGAUAACAUUAAUCACCAAUUAUAUAAUAACCAAGGUGGUGAAGAUUUAUAUGAUGCAACUGAUGGCUGCAAAUAGUGGUGCGCAUGCAAUACUACUAUUAUAUUGGGUUUGUUCUGUUGCAACUUAGACGAUUGAAGGGAAGACCUUCAUAGCCUAGUGGGGGACAAAAUCAUCAAGGUUUAGGAGCAAUAAGAUGCAUAAAGGAAUGCGCACAGUAGAGGAUUAUUAUUAUAUAAAUUAAUAGAUAUACAACUGUAUAACAAAUAUAUAAUUUUAAAACUAUAUCUAUAAACUAAGAUAAUCCUUUUUUUAUUCACAUUUCUUACUUACUCAUGUCAUUCUCUACAGGAAAACAAAGACUUUUCGGGAAAAAUGGAAAUAAGAAUAAGAAAGAGCUUGCACUAGAAGAAUAUACCAAUGAAAACCCAAUUGAUAUAAUUUAAAAUCCACUAUUCGUUCAAAAUAUCUACGAAAAAGAUAAGAUUAGUGCUUUUUACACAUCUCUGCUCACUUCAUACAACACCUUUCUAAUUUAUAACCACUAAAUUAAACAAUUAUAAAGUAAAAUCAAAGAUCAAAAUUAAGAAAAGUGUAUACAAAAUAAAAAAGAGUGUUGAAAUUACUGCCCUAAUAUAAACCCCCCACACCAGUUUGGCUAGUUAUCCUUGGCUCCUAUGUGGAUCCACUACACUAGACGACAAACAUAUCAAAAGACAGAAUCUUUGACAUCAUAUGUGAUUAACAAUUGGAAAGCAAUAAUUUGUCAUUUGCUUAAAAAGUGGAAUGUUUAAAUAUCACACCAUUUCUAAUAAAAAUACUUGACUUUUAUAUGCAAAGUAUCAUUCGUUUUGUUAACAAUUCAAAUUUUGGUAAAUGUUUUGAAAUAUUUUUUUAUUCUUUUUAUUUAUAAUGAUAUAUUUUAGUUUCUACAUCAAAUUGUGAUUGAAAAAAAAUUAAUCUCUUAUAUGAAAAGUUAAUAAGUAGCAUGUAACUAAUUAACGUGUUACAUGCUGUGAAGUAAUUACCUGAGUAUCAUAUCCUUGAGGCAACUGGGAGAUGAAAUUAUGAGCAUUAGCAGCUUUUCCAGCCUCAAUAACCUCUUCAAUCUCAGCAUCUUCUUUCCCAAAAAGUAUGUUCUCCUCAAUGCUGGUUGCAAAUAGAGCAGGCUCUUGGCUCACCAAACCCAUCUGCGACCUCAGCCACUUGAGCUGAAGCUUAUUUAUCGCCACCCCAUCAAGAAGAACCUCGCCUCCGAGUGGAUCAUAAAACCGCUGCAACAGCGAUAUCACCGUGGACUUCCCCGAGCCGCUUCCGCCCACCAACGCCACCGUUUUGCCCGCCGGAAUUGUCAAGUUGAAAUCUUUGAAGAUGAUGCUUUCCGGUCUCGACGGGUAUGCGAAUUCGAGAUGCUUGAAUUCGACUUCACCGGAGACAUCCUCUAGACAUUCGCCUUCCAUGUUGUCGGAAUCGAUCUUGGGAACUCUUCUUAUCACUUCCAUUAUGCGCUCGGCUGCCGAACAUGCCUCUGAAAAGUACUUCAAGUUUGAUAGUCCAGAACCUAAUGCCCUGUUCACCAAAACAAUAAAACCAUGCAUUAAGAAUUUGGGUAAACUAAAAGGAUCAUAAGAAUCUACAGCACAUGAUACACUGUUAAUAUUUUAUCAUAAACAGAAACAAAAUCGAAGAAAAUCAAAGGAUGCAUCAUUUUUGGGAGGUUAUAAGUUUGUACUUACAAGAAGUACCAAUUUACCAAUCUACAGACUACAGUACAUGGUACAUUGUCAUUUUGCCGUAACAAAUAAAAAAGAGGCAAUAUGCAUGAGUGGACAUUUUAUAAAUUAUCUCAAAAAUAUAAUGGGAAACACUAAACAAACAAUAUGUCAUACACUACUCACAGUUUUGUGCCAUUUUAGCACCUGUUUAGUGUUGUUCACAUUCUAUUUUUUGAUUAAAAGUCUAAACCAGUUUGAUCAAUGCAAUUUCCCGACGAAAAGAAAAAAAAAAAAAAAUCAACGAUAUACGUAUUAAAAAUAUGCAAAAAGGCGUCGAGCAUACAAUCCACCAACGGCGAUGGCAGCACCAACAGCAAAAACAGUGCCUCCCCGAGCGCUAUGGUACAUGACCAUUGUGCUUCCAUAAUACGACAUGAAAGACCAAAUGGCGAAGACAACGCCGUUACUUCCAAUGGCCAGGCCUUUAGCCAAGCCCUGGCUCAAUCCCAACUUGACGGAGCCCUGAAGAGCCACAGAGAAUUCCGAUAUAGUUUUGUUUUC
rnacentral:lncRNA from 1 species